AUCGUAUACAAUAAGGAUUAUAAUAAAUAAUUUAAACUUGAAUAUAAAACUACUAUGAACAAAAAGGACUCAAUUGAACAGUUUUUUCAAAAGGUGAGAUCAAUUAUUAUAAAAAAAUGUAGGACCAUAUUGAACAAACCCUCCAAACUAAGAACCAAAAGAAGUAUUAAGUAUUUUUUUAUACAUAAAUAAUAAUACAAAAAUUAUUAAAUUACAAAAAAUCUACAGAAAUUAACAUUUACAAUGUUCAAAUAAUAAAAUCUACAAAAAAAUAAAUUAAUAAACUUAGAAACAAAACCAAAAAAAUUAAAAGAGUUGAAACGCGAAGGCGAGAUCCUUGAAGACUGAACGGAUUUCCCACAUCCGUUCAAGGGUUUGCUGUUCUCUUCUUCCUCUUACACGUUCUUCCUCUUACACGGCAUAACACAUACAUCCAUUAGAUAAGAGACUAAAUGAAACCAAACACCAAAAUAACAAAGCUUUAACAAUAAAAUUGUGAAAUGGAAGAAGAAAGGAGAAGAGACUAAUAUAGGAUGAGGGGACUGAUAUCAUUAAAUUUCAGUUAAUCAUAUCGGUUAAACACUAAAAUAGCUUGAAUAACAUUUAUAUUUAUUUUAAGUCACUGAUAUAUACACAUUAUCAAAAUUCAAGAACAUUUUUCCUAAAUUUUCCGUGGCUAACUUUCGAUUCUCUUAUCUUUAUCGAAUUGUCACAGGUGGCACGUUCUUCGUAUCUUUCACUGACACAGAAAUUCACACCCAUGCAUGGCCCGGGAAACUAAACCUUAUCCAUUUGGGCCUGUUCCACCGAUCCACCAAGUUCAGUUCGCACGUGUCAACUCAUGAUCCUCAAAACGACACCACCGCUUUCACAAAAAAUUACACCAACACGUGUCCAAGCACGUGGCAGAAGCAUCGUGCAACUCACAUGGCACGUGUCAUGCUUUUACGACCCUUGACCAGAUUUGUAUGCUUGGUUUCUCGUAUAAAAAGCCCAUGCUAGCAUGCUGCUUUUCAUCAACAACAGCACCUUCAAACACAACCUCCUAUAAUCACAACAACAUCAUCAACCAUGGCAAGUUAUCAGAAGCAGUACGAGGAUCAGGGUCGCAAGAUCGACGAGUAUGGAAACGUCGUAAGGGAAACUGAUGAAUAUGGCAACCCGGUUCAGGCUGCCAGUGUCACCUAUAUAACCUCCUCCACCGGCGGUGUUAGGGAUGACAAUAGCAAGCAACAUGAUACCAGUAAUGUCUACGGAUCAGACACCCGUAAACAACAUGGAACUAUAGGUGAUACCGGUAGACAGCAAGGACCAACCGCUGGCUUUACUGCUGACACUGGUAGACAACAUGGAACUACCGGUGGUUUUACUGGUGACACCCAUAGACAAUAUGGCACUACCGGUGGUUUGACCGGUGACACCGGGAGACAACAUGGGACUACCGGUGGUUUUACUGGUGACACCCGGAGACAACAUGACACCGGGAGACAACAUGGGACUACCGGUGGUUUUGCUGGUGAUACCGGGAGACAACAUGGGAAUACCGGCGGCUUCACUGCUGACACUGGUCUGGGAGGCCCUUACGUUGGAGCCAACACCGCUGACACAGGGACUGGUCCUAGAAGUGGAACCACAGGUGGCAGCGGCUAUGGAUCGGGUGGUGGCGCAGGUGGUGGUUAUGGAAGUGGAACUGGGCAUGGUAUCAACACUGGGGGAGCACACAGAGAUGAUGGGUAUGGAAGGGAGUAUCGUGAGCAUGACCAGUCUCGUGGAGAUCAGGACAAGAAAGGGAUAAUAGACAAGAUUAAAGAGAAGCUUCCCGGAGUACACAGUGACAACAGCAAGUAGAAACAUAUGUGUGUGUUUGCAUGCAUGUAUACUACAUAGUAUAAACAUGUUAUAUUGUUGUGUUUUUGAAUAAGUUUGCUGCAUAUAUACGUACUCGUACAGUACUGUCUUGUCGUGUAAAUGUGGUGGAUCUUGUAUAUGGUUAAAGUGUAUGCAAGAGGAAUAAAAUGUGCAUGCAUGCAAGGGAAAGAAGGCAUAGAUGUUCUGUUCUGCCAAUGCAUAUGUAAAACCUACCCUGUUGUAUAGCAGGGUGCUUCAGUUGUGUGUUUUAAAUUUUCCAAUGAAGCAACUUUUUAUUUCUUUCUUUCUUGAUCAUUUAAAUUUUAUGUGACCAGCUAUUUUCUGUUAUCACCUUCCUUAAUAUCUUUUUAACAUGCAUAAGAGAAAAAUUGUUAGAAAGAAUCACUGGUUUUCUUAAAAAAAUUAGUAGGAUUUGUUAUGAAGUUUAUUUUUUAAAGAUUCUAAUAAUACCUUAGAAUGCGCCAUUGAUUGAGUUGGUAGAGGUAGAUAGCAAUGUAUAAGUUUCAUAUAUAUAUUUAAGGUUUAAAUUAUUGAAAAUAACACAUGAGAGUAACUGUUCUCUGACAAUGUAAUUAGCUACCAGCUAAAUAACUUCAUAAACAGGAAAAUUAUUGCAGGUGACAUAAAUAGUACAUCCUCUUACAUACACACACACACACAUAUAUAUAUAUAUAUAUAUAUAUAUAUAUUCUGGUUUUCUCAAGCGAGACAUGUUUCUAUUUGAUUCUGGGUGGCUAAAAGAGUCCAAUUAUUGGUGAUUGGUUUCUGGUCUUCCAUUUCUUCAUUGUUCUCGGUCAAGUCUUGAAUGUCUAAAAUCUCAACUCUUCUGUUAGUUUUCUUCUUUAUCUUGAUUGCCACAUCUUGUGGGAUGAAUCUGCCACAUACAACUACCCUUGUCUGCUGCUUUUCAAGGAGAUGGCUGUCCAACUCUAACACAGUCAAAGAAAUUCAGAAAAUCUACAAUUCAACUCUAUUUCACAACUAUAAGAACUCACUGCAUAGAUAUUAAGAAUGAUGAGUGAAGCCUAAUGAUACCAUUUUUGUGAAAUUUCUGUAAAAGUUUUUUAACAAAGAAAAAUGUUAUAUUGCUCUCUGAACUGAAAUCCAAACAUGAACUAACCUGGCAUAUCAAGAAUGGCUCUCUUGACUUUUCUGUAACAUCCACUACAAUCAAUGUUGAUCCUCAUCACCAUGCAGUAAUGCUGCAACCCAAAGAAAACAAAAAAUUAUUCAGAUUAUCUUAAGCAUUUAUAGCUUGUAAACACUUUAGGUAAGUAAAAGAAGGUGAUUAGUGCUUGCUUUCACUGUCAUGAAACCAAUUAAUUAGGAAGAGAUAGAGAAACAGCUACAACAGGAACUUGAAAAUUCCAAAUAGUAGGAAUGAGAGCUAGGAAAAGAAAACUUAAUCUUAAAAGUAUGCAACAAGAAGCUUUGAGAGUCAAAAAGGGUUUAUAAUGAGCUGGUUAGCAUUUCCCUUGAUGAUGCUCCUUUAGUUUGCUGAAUCUGAUUCUUUCUGUGAGUAGCUAGGCAAAGGGAGACAAAUGUAGCUUACUUUGUCACAUUAUUCCUGACUUCUUUGUUACCGUUUUGCGCAUGCCACUACAUAAACAAAGGAAAGCAUACUUUCUUUUGGGGAAAAAAAGACAUGAAGAUCAUACUUCUGUUGGAAUAAAGUGAUCAGCAUGCAAAUGUUUAAGCAAAAGCAAAAACUUUUACUUGUGUUAUUUGAACUUAUAAUUAUUUAACAUCUAAGUAUUGUUGUCCAUAUUAGUACUGGUUUUGGUUUAUAAGUGUUCAUUCAAAAUAUCUUGUUAUCAAAAUUGAGAGAAUUUUACAAUGAGAUUAUUAACUUCUUCAAUGAUCAUUUUAAAAGUUAUAUGUAGAGUUUUUAAUUGAUUGAUUUAGAUGCAGGAAAAUUAAACUAUUGUAACUAUGCCUUACAUUUUUUUAAGUUUUUAAAAGAGUUAGUUUAUCACAGGAAGAAACAAGAAAUACAUGUUAGAUGAAACUCACACAUAAUGUAUGGAACAACUCACACAGAAAAGUGAUCAUUUAUCUAUUUUAGACACCUUCCAUAAACACUAACACAAACAACAAAAUGGUUUCUCUGAAUAAUUUCUUUUUUGUCCCCAAUUUGUGUCAGAUUAUUCUCUUGCUGUUUAUUUCUAAUCUUCCCAACAUAUUUUCACAAGACUCUAGCCCUUCAACCCCACCAUAGCUGAAUGUACAUCUAGCCUAAUUCCCCUUAUUCCUUGCACCCCAUUUGUGCAGGGUAGUGACCCUUCUCCAGGGUCACUAUGCUGUGGCAACCUCAAACAGAUCUACAGCCAAGAGCCAUAUUGUCUUUGCCUCUUGAUCAACAGAACACUUACUCUGCAGUUACCAGCUCUUUGCAACCUUCAAGUUAAUGCUAAUGCUAAUAUUCCUUCUGUUUAGGUUGUAUAAAUAAUUUAUUACUUAUAUUUGAAUGGUGUUAUUUUGAAUAAUUUUACGUUGAAUUGAUUUUUUUCUUUGUUUCUUUGACUCAGUGAAUCAAGUGCACACAUCCCAGGUUUCUUUAGGCACAAAGAAUAAUUCCAUUGUUAUCGGUAAACCAACAAUUUUUUUUUUCCUUUUACAAAUCUCCUAUUUUCUUGCAUUUUUAUUUAACAAUUUUUCCAUGAAGUAAUUAAACAAAUAUAAACCUUGUGAUACUUGCUUAUGAUUUUUAAUGAUCUUGCUCUUCUCUAUUUGUAGCUUCUCCUUUCGUAGCUUCUCCUGCAGCAGUUCCACCAACACCUGUCAUGAUGGGAUUUGGAUUUCGAAGUAACAAAGCCACUACCAUAAAUAUAAGGAAACCAUUAGUUGAUGUUAUUACUACAGCAUUAUUAUUUUUAUUUUAGUAAGAUAAUGUAAUAAGUAUAAUGAAAUACUUUGUAAACCUAAACCUAGACAUUUUAAAUUUAUUUAGAUUAUGAUUACAUGGAACAGAAAAAUUAUAAUUAUACUAUACAACUUUUACCUUCUCUAUUACUCAUUGAAUUAAAUUUUAAUCAUUAAGUUUUACACUUCAUGAAUUGUAAUCAGAAUGUAUUAUAAUCUUGACCAAACCAUAUUACCUGAUUAUAUAUAUAUAUAUAUAUAUAUAUAUAUAUAUAUAUAUAUAUAACAUUUUCAUUUCAAUGGAUUUGGUAUGAACCAAGACUGAAGAUUGUCAUCAAUGAUAUGUGAACAAUCAUAUGAAAUUUCCCUACUACUAACAAUGCAUAUACACGUAUAAUUAACUCACUUGAUCUAAUCUAUCUCAGAAGUGAUACACUAUAAAAAGGUGUACAAGUAUGUAGCAUUGCUUACAAAUUUAGCUCAGAAAAAGUUUGAAUUCAUUUGUCUGCAUUAAUAUGCCAAAAAUAAGGCAUAUUCAAUUUGCAGUAUCUAUGUGUCUAUGAAGACUCUAAUCCAAACUAGGAGCAACCUCUGUUGGAUUGGAAUCAAAUACAUCAGAGUCAUAUGCAUCAGUGUCUUCAAAAACAUCGCUGGAUUCUGAACUGGAGUUUGCACGGGACUCUGCACUAGACUCCACACUGGACUCCACUCCAGACCUCACUCCAUACUUUCUUUCCAUCUCGUCUCUCACUUCUUUUGGUGGUUCCUGAUAUGUAAGACAACCAUAUAGAGAAACACAUACCUGCAAUGACAGUGAACAUAAGGACAUCCAAAGAUUCAGUACAGAUAUCCAUUUUACCCUGCACACUACCAAAAUUUGGUCGAGAUCAAAGCAAGUUAAUAAUAGACAUAAAUAUUUACAUGAUGUUCUUUAAUAUUACAAUUUAAAACCUUGAUUGAACCAUCAUAGACAUGGAGUCUUUAGACUACCCACUUCUAUAAACCUUUUCUUUAACACAAUAAAGAAAACAAACAAAGCUUCAAAACCUUCUAUAUAAAUUAACAGUCUCAUUAUGUAUCUAAGAACAUAUAUGUGGCAUGUGGAUUCACCAACAAAUACCUAGCCUUUGCAUUACACUUUUUCGAUCCUUGAAUCCAUUCAAACACAACAAUGAGAAUUCCCUAGACAUUUUUAGGACGUUCAACCCCUCCCUUGCAACCCCUAUUUGAUGAACAUCCUCAAAUCGUGUCCUGUCAGUAAAGGUAGUUUUCUGCGAGUUAUCAAUGAAUGGGUAUGAUCUUUAAUGAAGUUUUAUGAAACUUUUCCUCUAAUACAUAAAAUGGUGAACUUGAGGCUCUACUCUAAUGCUAAAUUGUAAGAAUAGUCCUAUCUCUUCUAUCACAACAAUAAGAGAAAGUGUUUAACUCGAAACUUGAGUUUGUCCAAAAUAAACAAAACAACAGCCUAAUUCUUUCCUAUUACAUUAAAAAUGCACGUCUUUAAACUAAGAAAAAAAGUUCUGUAUUUAAUAACACAACGAAAAACAAUUCAUGAGAAACCCGACAUUGAUGCAACAAAACUUAGUAAAAAAAACACCAUUCUUUAAAAAACUAAAUGAUCUAACUACUCAUUUGAUCUCUACCUAUAUAAUUUCUAGGCUUUAAUCCUUGUAGCUAGCAACUACUCACUUUUGCCCUUACAUUUUUAACUUGCUUCAAUCUCUACGCGUAUUUUUUCUGAAUCUGUUUAACCCUACAGAUUUAAACAUUAAAAAACUAACACGAGCACUAUUGUAUAAGUUUAAAGAUAAAGGUUAAAAAUUAAAAUUUUAAAAAGCUAUCGGAGAGAGUUUAUAUAAAACUAACUUAUAUACAAAUAAAUUUUAAUUGCUUUUUUUUAUGGAAUUAACAUAAUUUAAACUAUUACAAGUAACUAAACUAAUUUAAAACUAAGAUUACAACAUUUUUCCCAGAAGUAACAACACUUCCCAAGCUCAACAAACAUGAUAUUGUUUAAACCUAAGCAAAACUACGCGAUUAUGUUAAACACUGAACUAUAAUUUCAUGAACAAACAGCAACACUUUCAGGAAUAAGAAGAAGAAACAAAGUUGAAUAGAGUGAUAUUAGUUAUAUAUACCGCGACACCGAAGCCAAUAAUCCAGGAAUACUGGACGAAGAAACCAAACAAGUCCCACUGCGGUCCUUCCCAGAGAUACGGUUCUUCCCGGAGAAAUUCAUUCACUUUGCUGUAAAGGGCAACAAAUUCCUCGUCCAGGGGAUCUUCGUCUUCGAUCUCCGCCGUGGCUUGCGGUUCGGUUACGGCGCGGAAACGAUGCGACUCAGAGAACUUCUUCGCGCACGCCACGUGUAGGUGAUUGCUUGGCGUUCGAAUUGACGAAGAAAAGAAACGGUUGCAGCGAGUGGUUGCGGUAGUGUUGCCGCAGGGGAUUAUCGCCGCGCCUCUCCCAAUGGGCACGGUGAACGCCAUGGGUGGAUGAGAAUGCUAGCAACGGAUAUUGAUAUCUAUUGUAUUUUACUAACUUAUCUUGCAUUACAUUUUUUUUUUCCAUAUAUUAAAAAAUUGAGUAUUCUCAAUAAUUAAUAAGAAAAUAUAUUUUCAAAAACAGUAUAAAACAAUUGAGACAAAUACUAAAAAGUAUAUUAAACUUGUGAAAAAAAUUACUCAAUAUAUACUCUUCCAAAAUUAGAAAUUAUCAAAAUUUUCUUAUUUUUUUUUAACUUUAUUAAUUUAUUAAUAAAUAAAUAUUUAUAAUUGACAAAUAUUUGAAGUAAUGAUUCUAUUGGACGACCGUUCGAUUUGUAAAUUACAAUCGUUCGAUUUCAAGAGUGGUAGAUGAUUGUACUUAUACAUGUUUAAUAUGUUCGAUCUAAUGUUGAUUGGACGGUCAUAUAAUACAACUUAUUUUUAAUGUUUAAUACAAGUGUGUGAAAUAAAAUGGAAAAGUGAUAAUUAAAUUUGAUUAAGAUUUAAGCUCCAACUUAAUUAAUCAAUAGUUAAGUAUACAAGGAAUGUAUGUGGUUAGUUUUAGAUUUUAUCAAAGAGUAGUAGUUGUUGUGAUAAAGUUCAGAGGUGAGAAUAGUGUUUUUGGGGAGUGUGUUUAUCAAAGAGGUAGAUCUUCAAGGUAUGGGCUGAAGUUAAAAUACCGUCAAAUAAUAAAGGGCCGGCCUUAUAAAUAGUGGCAUGAUUUUAUUUUGUUUUUAUUUUCUGUAAACUUACAAUGUACACAAGUUAACUGUUAUUCUAUCAAUGUGUUUCUUUAUAUUAAUUUCUCAUAUAUUGUUUAACUCAAUCUCCUGUUUAUUUGUUUUGGGUUGUCACAUUUUAUAAGUUAUGAUUGUUUUACUUUAUUUAGGAUUUCUACGACGGUCUUUGACCUUAAAAAAUAUGAAUUUGUUCAACAAAAGCAUUAAGAAAAAAAAAAGUCUACAAAAAAUUAUGAUUUGUAUAAAAUAAAACUUAAAUAAUAAAAAAAAUAUAUAAACUCGAUAUUUUAAUAAAAUAUUCAAGGUUCAUUUAAAAUGUCGCUUUUCUUUUUAACUUAUUUUGAAUUCUUACAAUUGUGAGGUUUGCACGCGUUGAUAGUUGUUAUAGAAAUAUUAUCACGAUGUGAUUAAGAAUAAAGUUAGUGAAUUAUAUAAAAUAUUAUAAAAUGAGCUAGACAAACAAAAAAUCAUAUGAUGAUGAAUAGUUAAAGAAAAAAUCAAUAAUCAGUUAGAUAUGAGAAUCAUCAAUAAUAAUUUUACUCAUAGAUGAUGGAGUCAAAAGAAGCCAAUAGACAUCCUAGGAUAGCAUAUAUAAUUAUUUGAGCGAAAAGUGAUACUGUUUAAUACUGUCAUAAAGGUCUUUUGCAAUGUUGGAUCAUCCUUCUCAAGCUUGGAAGAGCAAAAAAGAAAAAUAAAGGGUAAAACAAGAAACUGAAUUUCUUAAAUAAUUUAUUGGCUUGUAUCUUGGAUAUUUUGAUUAAAGAGUAGAUGUAAGUAAAUAAAAAGUUGAGGAUAAACUAUCUUAAAGAAAUUAUUGAAAAAUUUAGGUAUCAUUUUAUAAGAAUUUUUUUUAGAAAAGAUCAAGUCAUUACAAUUUGAAUUACAUUUAUUAAUUUUUAUUUAUUAUAUCUUAUGAUAGUCCGAUCAGUUAUAAUGAAAACGGUUAAUUAUAAUAUAAAUGGUCAAUUGUCAAAUUAGUUAUGAAUCACAAGUUCGGACGAACAACCAAUCCGUUCACAUGAUAUAUGAUUGAGACGAAAAGUUUAAUUACCAAAAAUAAAUGAGCGAGUCGACCGAUCACCAAAUAGAUUGACCAAUUACACGUUAGAAGUGAUGCUCAACUACUAGCAUAGAGAGCGAACCCACAAGUUCGGUUGACCACCAAACUGAUGUACAUCAAAUUGUGGUCAACCCUCAGCUCUAAGAGCAAACUAGCAAGCUCGGCCGACCACCAAACAGAUUAGUCCACCAUAUAUCAAACUAAAUGGUCAACCCCUAGCUCAGAAGCAAACCAGCAAGUUCGGUCAACCACCAAGUAAACCGACUUACCAUACAUCAAACUAGCGAGCCUAACUGACCAUAAAUUAGAUCGACCAACCAUGCUAUAUCUCAGAUAGUCAAGCAAUAGUUCGGAGAGUUGGCCACUGAGCUCGGAUGGUCACUAAACAUAUUGUUCGGCCUUGAAUUAGAUCAAUUUGAAUGAGCAAUACCAAAACUUAUUAACAAUAAAACGGAUUAACUUAAGAUUAAAACAUGAUUACUCAUAAUUGGAUUGUAAUUAGACUAACGUUAAUAAAAAAAAAAAAACCCACCACAACACCUAUAAAUAAAGGUUUGAGUUAAAAAGGUAGGUGACGUGCAUUAACUAUUGCAUAUUGUUAUCUCUCAAACGCUGAACUAACUUUGACAUCAGAGUACCUUCUAUAGGUACUACCAGACCAGUUUGAAUGCAUAGGAGACCGCUCACUAGAGAAUAAUUGGAUCUUAGACAACAUAAUAGGACCUAAACAGAUAACCUUGACCCAUACCCAAAACGUUUAUCUUUAAACUUCAAUCGGUUUGAAUAUACAAAAGACUGUUCACUAAAGAAUAAUUGAAUCUUAGACAACACAAUAUAACCUAAAGAGAUGACAUUGACUUCACACCCAAAACAUUUAUCAUUAAAAUCUUUUACAUUUUAAUUAUCAAAAGACAUUUUACUAAACAAAAAUUAAACCUCAAACAACACAAUAGAAUCCAAACAGUUAAUCUUAACCCACAAUCAACACAUCUAUCAUUAACGUAUAUUUUAAUUAUUCACCUCUUGCGUUUUUUCACCCUCCUCCACGAUUUGUAUAUUUAUUUUAUUUAUUUAUCUUUUCAUUAUAGAAUUCCCAUAUUGACUUUAUGAUAAGAAGCAAAUUAAUUUUCAUGAAAAAGGCCAAGCAACCAAUAUUUGUUUCAAUUAAUUUCGCUAUGUCAUCAUCAUGAUAUAUAGUGGGUAAAAUCAAUUAUUGUAUAUUAUCCAAAUAUAUCACCAUCAUGUACAAUUUCCUUUUUCCUAAACAAUCAAAUGACCUCAGUGAUUGCUUUUCUUCCCAUCAAAUAAAUCUAGAAAAUAAUCUCUUCUCCCUUUCUUCCUCCCACUUUCUAAACCAAACAAAAACAUAAAAGUUUCACCAUUUCAGCACAAAAACCACUCUUUUUCAAGUUAUAACGUAACAACCAUUAAUAAAUAAGGUGUAACGUAACGCUAACCAGUAAUGCCAACACCCUUUUUCUCUUUCGAGUUUCAGAAAGAAAACCAAAUUGCAAGUAACCUUUUAAAAAAUAAUUGAUAUAUUUGUUCGACAGUCUUUCUUAAAAAUUGAUAUUUAUACUAGAAUCAACCUUUUCAAUUUUGCAAAAUAUUAAUGUAGAACCCAAAAAUUAUACUACAUUUGCAACAUUUGUUUUACUUUUUAUUUCUAUAUUCCAAUAAUUUCAUAUUCAUUACAAUACUUUUUUAAAAAAGAGCAGUAUAAACAUAUUAAAAAAAUCUCAAAAUUGUUUAUUAAAAGUAUCUCGUACUAAAGUAAGUAAAACGUUAUUUAAAGCAGUUAACAAUCUUCAGGUUCACAGAAAAUACUUUAUCCAUAAAUAAAACCAAAAAUCAAAAAAACAAAACUGAAACAAUGAAACGGUGUCGUCAAAGAGCCAGUUUGUUUCAAUUGAAUUCAUCGAAAAAAACCGAAGCAACAAACAAAUCUUAACCCUACAACUUUUCACAUCUACACCUACAUUUCUGUGCUACUUUUUUUUUUCUCUUCAUACCCCCAAAUUUUCCUAGAUUUACAUUUCCACCCCUAAGCACCGUUUUACUAACCCCCACCACAAAACUUCACCCACCUUCACCGCCGUCACGCCACCGCUUACAUAGCCUGUAAGGACUCCGACCGCCACAAAACAUCCGCAGCCGAAUCCGCAUAAUCGAACAACCCAUCCACGGUCACGAAACCCCCGGCGCCACCGUCACUCUCCGCCGCGAAUCCAGAACCAAACCCAAACGCGUCAAAACCCGGAACAUAAUCCUCAAAGCCAUUGAACCCGGCAAGCUCCAACAAUGCCGGGUCAACCCGACCCGGUUCUUCCUCAACUGCAGCCUCGGUCGGUGGCAACCCCAGCUCAUCAUCGGAAGCUUCGAGUAAAUACCCCAGCUUGGUCUGCAACUCGCCUGAAUCAGGCACCUGGGUCGGGUCAUUCGGGUCCAAAUCCAAAGUCGGAGCCUUGAUUUCAUCCUCGAAGCUUUUGAUGACCGAAUCGAGACCCUGCACGGCGUCACGGUCGGGCACAUUGUCGGCGUCGUCGAGCAUGUUAAAAAUGUCGUGUUGAAGCUGCACAUGGGAGUGGAGGUAAGACUCGGUCGAGUCAACCCGGGGAAUCUUGGACUCGGGCGAGUCGGACGAGUUGGCAGCAAACUCGUGACGAACUCGCUUCUUGGUGGUUUCCGCCAUGGAAAAGUUGAAAAAAAGAGUGAUUUUAGAGAGAGAAAAGAUGAAUGAUUUGGGUGGGAAGAAAGAGAAAGGGUGAAGGGUAUUAUAUAUAAGGGUUGGAAAAGUAAGAUAGGCUUUGUCUACUUUAAUUCCUAAUGCAAGAUAGUGACAGGCGCGUGCAUAUCGCUGCAUAAUAAAACACAACUCCAUUCACGGACGUCUCCUUUUUUUUUUUUCUUUCACACAAACAAUAACUUUUUUUAAUAUUCAUAACAAAAUAAUUACUUUUUUUAAUAUUAAUCACAUUGUUUAUCAAGUAAAUCAAUGGAUUAUAGUCAAUACUUUUUUUUUCCCAAAUUUAAUUCCCGGAAAUAGAAAAAUCAUGAAAGAGACACGUGGAUAGAUAGAUAGAAAGAUAGAUCCUGUUGUAUUAAAUAAAUAGGUAGUAUGACAUUAAAUUAAGAAAAAUAAAAAAUAAAAGUUAAAAUAUGAUGUUGUGUGUGUCGUUCUGAGUUUUCCUUUUUGGCGUGUAAGAUCCGUUGGCCAUUAUUGCAGAUAGCUGAUUUUUCUUUUCUGGCAAUAAACUAAAUUUAAUUUGGGUUUGGGUUCCGGGGUGGGGACCACGUAAUAGGAAACAUCAUGUGUGUUUUUUUUUUUAUUAUUAAUUAGGUUUAUUUUUUGAAAGUUUGGGAUUUGGUGGAGUGGUCAGUGGGUCACACCACAGGUGGUGGUAGAUUCUUGGGUUGAGUUGAUUUUAUUUUUAUGAAUAUUAUUAUAAUUAUUUUUAUUUUUAUUGUAGAAAUAUUAGAUAGAUAAAGAUACUUAGAUAACAUUUUUUUGUAACAUUUGAAUAUCAUCGUAUCAUUGUGUGAGUGGUUCAUGGGGGUGUUAUUUUAUUAUUUGAAUCAAUCAUACAAUGAUACAUAUAAUGAUAUUUAAAUAUUGUCAAAAAAUGUUGUCUAUGUAUCAUUAUCCUAUUAAAUAUAGGUUUUUAUUUUAAUGAAUGAUGAAAGGCUAAAGGAAAGAAGGUUCUAGUUAGGCUAGGGUUAUGAUAAGAGUACUGAUGGUGUUGGAUUCUCUUCUAACCACCAACCACUUGCCUUUCUCCUUCAAUCUCUAUCAUGUAUUAAUCUUCUUUCUUAUAUUAGUAUAAUAACAUUUCAACAAUAAUACUUUUUAAUAUUUUAAUAUUAUUUAUAUGUCAUUUUAUAGUUAGUUUAAAAUUACUUCAAAAUAAACACUAAUAAUUAAAUUAAUUUGCAUUUGUAAAAUAUUUACAAGUAUCCGUUAAAUAUAACACUUUUGUAUUCAUAGCUGUAUAUGCACACAAAAUGUUGUCCCAGCAUAUGUGUGUAUAGUACAUUUGUUGGUCUCGUGUUUGUACUUAUAUAAGUUGUCGUGUUAAGUUAAAACACCAUCAUCACAAUGAUAAUAAAAGAGAAUAUACUAACAUGUAAGAGCAUUGAUUGAAUACUAUGUAAUGUAACAUACAAUGAAUGACAUAAUUGAUGUAAUAAAUUAUUAACUCUUACACUGCUUCACCAAAGAUCAUGUAUGAAUCAUGCAACUAUUUAUAUAUAAGACUAUAUGAUAUUGGAGAAAUAUAUCUAAUUAUAGCAUUUGUGAUUUACAUAUAUUAUAUCUUUAAAUAUAUAACUAACCAGUGCAAUAAGGAUCUCCCUGCAAAAAUAAUGCAUUUGUAUAAUUUAAGUUAUUCGUAAACAUCACUUGGGAGUUUAAAACAAGUUUAAGAAUCAGAUUUUGUUUUAUUAAUAAAAUAAUUUAUACUAAAGUGUAUCAUAAUUUUUCUCAAAUUAUUUUCUGAGUAAUAAAAUUAAUUUAUACAGUUCAAUGACUUUACUUUUUUUACAACACUAAAUAAUAUAUCAAAAAUAUCUUCGUAUAUUUUAAAUUAUUCAACUAUUUUGAAGAUGAUAAUCGUUUUAUCUACAGUAUAUAUUCUAGGUGAUUUUAUAAUAGAUUUUAUAAAUUUUUAUCUUCAACAUUUUUAUCAAAAUGUUUCUUUAUACAACUAAUAUGUUUACAGAUACUUAAGUUUUAUAUUAAUUUCAAAACAAUUCUCUUAACAAAAAGUCAAUAUAUUUUCAAAUCAAUUUUCUCUCUAAUUUAAAAAAAAAAUAAAAAAUAUUUUAAUUAUUCAAUAACUUUAUCAAUAAUACAUAUAUACACUUUUAUUAUAAACUAUUAUAUAUGGAUUUAAUCCAAAUGUCAUAUCAAAUAUUAAUUUCUAACAAAUAUUUAAAGUUUUACAAUUCUGGUUAAACAAACAACUUUAUUUUAUAUUCUAUAUCACUACUAGCUUUAAGUAAUUCAAAUAAAACAUUUAUUUCUCUUAAUAAAUAUUAGUAAAAAUUAGAGAUAAUUAAUUAUUCCAUUUUUUAAACAUAAUUGUAAUUUAUUAAAGAAAUUAUUUAAUUGUUAAAUACUACUUUUAAUACUAAUAAAAAAUAAUUAUGUUUUGUAACAUUCUAAUAAUUACCAUAAGAUUCAUUACACUAAUUUUAAUAAUAAAAAAAAUAAUUUAAGAAUAACUUUUAAGUUACCAUCACAGUUAUCUAGAUAUAACAUAUAAUAAUAUACAAGGUUAUGCAAUACUAUGAACAAAAAAUGAAAUCAACUCCUUUCAAAAAUAAAAGAGACUAACGAAAUGUCUUACUCUAAGCUUCGUCUCCGUCAUCUUCAAGAGAAACAUCUUCCUCCGCUCACAUAAUUAAAUUAAUCAUUACAAAAGAAUAGACAAACAUACAAGCAAACAAGAACAAAAGGGUAAACUAAAUUGUCGAAGAAACAUUAAUACAAUUGAAAUACAACAAUUGACAUAUAUACAAGUUAUAUCAAUCCAUUAAUAAGCACACAACCAUGAAUUUUAAACUUGAUUGUUCAGACCAGUAUUGAUGUGAAAUAUCGGGAGACCGUGCACUUGUAGUGGUAAUACCCAAUCCACCUCGGCGCUUUGUCGAGCUAUUACUCACAACAUUAGUUAUUGUCAAGGUCAUAAGAGCCUUGGGCUCGUCCUUAUGACAGGACCUCCUACUUCUCUCACCACAUAACCAUCAUACUCUACUUGAGAAAGAAUGGUUAUUAAAGUAUCAAGGUAACCUCCAACGUCUAAACACCCAAUAAUACUCACACUACUAAAAAUAUCACCAUAAAUCUCUCCACGAGAUCCAUGGGAUUACACCAACCAAAUAUAAAAUAAACAUAAAUCAUUCACAUAAUCAAUAACAACUUGUUAUCAUCAUAGUAUCAUGUAUGAAAAAACAUUAUACAUGUUUACAAGUAGUCUUUAACCAUACUAACAUUCAUAUUUAAAAUUAGCAAAGCAUAAACAAUCCCCUCUAAUUAUACAUAUAAAAUCAGUAUUACUGAAAUAAACCCAGUUUAGGACAUGAAACACAAAAAACCAAAAACAUAACCAACAACAGGGUGCGUUCAACGGUACAGAACCAUCACUCAACGUCUUGCAUCUAGAGACCAAAAUCCAUGGCACUAGAAGGCCAACGCUCAACAUUAUAUCAACGACCCUCUGUGUCACAUUAGAAACUAGGAACUUAAAAUCCUGAUUUGAUUGCACUCAAGAUCUAUCCAAAUGACCAAAUUUCUAUUCUUGACAUUGUGAUUGAUUUGAAAACAUAUUUAAACAUUUGGCUGAAUACUAAUUUGCCCAAUUGUCCAAUGACUCAGUACAUCAUAUCAAACCAACAAUCAUCACAUCCCAAACAACAAACUUAGCAUAUCAAAAUACCAUAUUUCAGCAAAACAAAAAACUAAGUCUCGAAUGAAAAAAACACAAACUCCUAACAUCAAACACCUUUAAAGAAGAGUCCCCAAAGAAUAUUACUCGUUAAACCACCAAUUCAAGACCAAUUUCUAAACAAAAUUCUAACUUAUUACCAAAUCAAUUCGACAUCAAUUUCAACCAAAUUAAACAAUUUCAACCAAAUUAAGCAAUUCAAACAGCACACCAUCAUAAUAACUAGAGUAGAUUUAAGUAUUGAUUCAAUCAACUAAAGCAACACUUUACAUCAUUCACAGACCAUAAAAAUAAGAAAUCACGCAACAAGCAAUCACACAAUAAUUUCCCAUACCAAAUCUCAAAUCAAAUUCAACGUGCAUAACAGAUUAUCAAAGCAUUAACAUCAUAAAAAGGUGAUAGUUAGCUUUCUUCACCCGUUAAACGGCCGAAAAUUUUUAAAGAACUUAAAAUCACUCACUUAUCUCAAAGAAUUCUAUAUGUACUUAUAAACCACAAAAUCAUGAUCAGGAUAUGUCGUUAGAACCACUGAUCAACAAAGAACCUAAAGGAAGACUCAAAUGACACAUGCAUAGAAAACUGAUCACAUGCAAUGAAAAACAUAAAAAUUAGAUAAAAUAUAAAAAAACUAACUUACUCUGUUUCAAGAACUAACCAAACAAACUUGAAAACCUUCCCGCAUUGAUAACUUUAGCAUCUUUGAUCUUUAAACAAUGUUAGAUAUAUUAUAUUUAGUUUAUAUUUAUCUCUUAUCUUUAGUUAGUUAGUUUAUAUUUCAUAUGGUAUCAGAGCCUGGUUCUCUGAUUCUUUAGUCAUUAUCUUCGCUGUCUGCGCGCGGGCGGCCACCAUGGCCGCCGGCAGCCCGGCCAAGAAAGGCCACUGCAUCCGCAGUGCAUCACCGCUACUCGUCGUCGGUCAUCAUCCUUCACCGGAACUUCGUCGGACCUUCCCCUGACCUUUCGCCGGAGCUUCGUCGGACCUUUCGCCGGACCCUCGCCGGACCCUCGCCGGACCUUCGUUAGAACCUCGUUGGAAUCUCGCCGGAAUCUCGCUGGAACCUCGCCGGAGUUCCAGAAUCAACUGAAGACCGCUCCAUCCGAAUCGCCUCUUGUGGUCGUUGAGGCCAUCAGAGCAUGUUGAAUUUUUAGGGUUUCUUUCUCUCUCUUGUUUAUCCAUGGCUUCUUCCGUUGUUGUCUCUUCUGACCUCUCUUUUUACCGUUGCGUUUGACCCGUCCAUAUAUGCUUUUUUCAUGGAAAAGAUGGUCUGUUGUUAGUUUAUUUAUAGCCGUGGUGGCUCUUCGACAAUUACCUCUUUAUCCAAUGGCGGCAUUCUUCAAGGGCGAUUUGCAAGAAGAGAUUUACAUGGAGCAACCUCCCACAUUUGUUGCUCAGGGCGAGUCUUUUGGGUUGGUAUUUUGUCUUCUAUGUCAACUUGCAAAUCAUUAGCAAUUUGGUGUCUCUCAAGUGGGAAGCAGAUAUUUUCACCAAGUUUUUAUGGCUUAUUUUAGUAACAAGCUUGGUAAAUACAAUCUGUAUGCUCCAGCUUGAGGAGGAGUGUUAGAUAUAUUAUAUUUAGUUUAUAUUUAUCUCUUAUCUUUAGUUAGUUAGUUUAUAUUUCAUAAACAAAUAAUCUAACAAGUGACUUGAAAUGAUGAAACCUUCUUUGUAAAAUUUUUAUUUAUAUUUUAAACUUUUUAACAUUAAAAUAUUUGAGUCUCAUUAUCUAAAUCACAUUAUUAGUUCUAAAAGGAAACUAUUUAAACAUUAACAUUGCUCAUAAUAUUUUAAUUAAGUUUUAUUCUCAAAUAUAAUUUUACAACUAAUUUAAUAAAAAUAUAUUAAUACUAAAAAAAUUAAAAAAACCUUAAAACUAAAAUUUUACUUUGGACCUUAUUUCUAAAAUUUAAUAUUCUCAUACUAUAGUUUAAUUCUAUCAUAAAAUGUAAAAGUUAAUCGACACCAUUAUCUUGCUAUAAAACAAGAAACUAACUCUCGUUCAUCUUUACAAGUAUUAACCAUAUAACUAAAUAAAUUGAGGUUUAAAUAUAAAUUAAAUUUUCUUUUACUUUUCAUUUAUAAAAAUAAGUUACUGAAAUUUUGGCUUAACUAAAAUUGUUUUCUUUAUUUGAUUCUCUUUCUUUAUACACAUCAAACUUUUGGUACCUUUUUUUAAUGAGAAAAAACUGUUCUUAUCCACUUGAGCAUUGAUUUUAGUACCUUUUUUUCCCAUUAGAAAAACUGUUGUCAUUUACUUUAACAUUAAUUGGGAUCCAUUCUCCCACCUACUUUUCUUGGGUCCUUUUUUUCUAUAAUUUCUCACUUGCAAGUGUAAACAAUUAAGAUUCUUUUUUUAAUUUUUAUUAAUCUUUAGUCAAUCCUAUAUUUUAGAAUAUUUUAUUUUAUUUUUUAUAAAGUGAGUAUAAUUUAAAAAAUGAAAAAGAUGAAUAUAAUUUGAAUAUUAUAUUUUUAAAUGAAAGGUAAUGAUAACUUUACAAUAUUUUUUACGAUAUUUUAAUAUUAUCGAUUGAUUUAUAUUAAUGUUUAUAAUUGUUAUUAUUACUUAUAGAAUAAUUUUAAAUCACGUAAUAAUUAAAAGUUGUUAAAAUUUCAUUUUUUUUUAAAUAAGUUAAAAGAAGUGUAGAAAGCACGUUCUCUCUUCACCGAAGCAGCCGCUGACAAUGUUCUCCUCGUGGCAUCUGAAAAGUUUGAUAGAUGAGAACUUCUUUUCUCUUCUACCACGUCACAUUCGAAUAAACCUAUUUGCAGCCUUUUCUUUUUCUUUUUUAUAUUAUCCAAAUCUUUUUUCUUUUUUUCUUUUUAAACUUUCAGAAAGCUUCUUUACUUUUUAUUUUUUAACUUUGCUAAAAAAAUAUGGAGAGCACAAGUAACGGUAAGAGAAAGUAACGAUAUGAAAAGUUGAUUUUUAUUAGAAAAAUAUUCUUUGAUAGAUAUAAAUUUUGAUUUAUAUUUAUUUGACAUUUUUUUAUAUUUUAUUAUUUUCUUUUUUAAAAAAAUAUAGAAAGUUAUAGUAAAAGUAUGUUAUAGUAUGAAUAUUUUUAUAUUUAAUAGUUAAAAGUAAUAAAAAAAAGUUACCUAGAAGUGGAAGAAAUGGUAGGUUUUUUGAAAGGCAAGAACAGAGCAUGUUCCUGGUCUUGUCUUCCUCAACGCGGUCACAUUGAUGACAUCUAAAUGUUAGAAAAAUGAAAAGAAUGGUCCCAAUUAGAUAUGUGAUAUUGUUCUCUGACAUCUUGGCCCACCAAAACCUACCAUAUUAUCGCUACCACUAUUCCAACUUGCUACAUCUCUCUUCCUAUAUUCGGUUAUUCAACAAUUUUCUUUCAUAAUUUCAAACUAUAAUAUCAAAUUUAUUUUUCUUCAUGACUUCAUUUCUUAUCAUAAAUAUCUUUAUGCUUUCUCUUUUUCAGUUUCAUUCUUUCUUUUAUCUCAAAUCUAUAUCUAUUUAAAAAACAAAAACAUCAUAAAUAAAUAAAUAAAUAAGUUUUUUCAAAAUAUUGUUUACACACUAUUGCAAAAAGACUUUAGACGUUGGUUAUUUUGGACAUUUAACCUUACAUCAGAAACAAACAUCUUUGUGGGUGACGUUAAUAAGACGUCAGUUUUCUGCAUGUGCGACGUCGUUAUAGAUGUCGGUUAAGGUCAAAGCUCGACGUCUAUAAAGACAUCAGACAUUACACUAACCGACGUCUAAGGGCACCCUAGACGUCUGUUUAGUGACAUGUCCGAUGUCAAUAAAGUCGUCAAACAUUGCAUUAAUCGACGUCUAUGGGCACUCUAGACGUCAGUCAUUACAUUAGCCGACGUUUAUGGCACUAUAGACGUCUAUCAUUACAUUAAUCGACGUUUAUGGUGUGUUGUGUUUUGAUGCGGUUUUUCUCGUGUCUUUGGGUAGCAUAGUAGCACCUCCUUCCUUUGCUAGUUUUCUCGUAAGAAAAAAUUGUGUCUUUUGGAUUUCUCAUGGCAUUUCAACCCAAAGAUGAACUUGUGUCGUUGCCUAGGUCCACUCCGACCGCCAAUGAAGAAAGAAUACGGUGAGAAUAUGGUGACACCGUAUUCUCACAGUUUUCUUUUUCAAUGGCGGUGGGAAUAGCUCUAUGUAAGGACCCAGGUUCGUGUUUAGAUUGGAAUGCCAUGAUAUAUCCAAAAGUCGUAAGUUUUUCUUAGGAGGAAACUAGCAAAGGGAGAAGGUGCACCACGCUACCCAAAGACAAAAGAAAAACCCGCACCAAAACACAACAAAAACACAUUUUAAUCGGUUCAAAUAAAAGAUAAUACAUCAAAGAUUAUUUUAAUCGGAUUAAAAAUUAAAAGCAAGUUUAACCAUAUCAAAAGAUAUUAAACGCACCUGUAAAUUCAAAGGAGCAGAGAGAAAAGCAAAGGAAGACGAUGAAGUGCACGAAACUGCUGGUUCGUAAUCUCUGUUUUAAAAAGAAAUUCAACGUCGGUUGCACAUGAGCCCAACGUCUAUAAUGGAAAAGACGUUGGUUAACUCACUAAUUCGACGUCUUUCUGAUUUAAAAAUUAACAUUCGCGGGGCUUAUAAACGUCAACUACUAAGGCCACUGACGUCUAUAUAUGAUUAUAGACGUCAGUGAAGAGGCAUCUGACGUCUACUUGAUUGAAAGGAAUGACUUUUCACCUGUCUGGCAGACAUAUAGACGUCGACUAUCGCUUACCUUACGUCUAUAGGCCUGAUAGGUAGGUGAAUAGUCAUUGAUGUCCACCAUAUAAAUGUCAGUUUGGCAAGAUCCGAUGUCUAUAUGACGGAAAGGAAUGACUUUUCACCUGUCCCAUAGACAUAUAGAAGUUGGGGUCGCCCUAACUGACGUCUAUAUGUCUAACAGGUAAGUGAACAACCAUUAAUUUCCGCUAUAUAGACGUCGGGUCCUGUCCAACUAACGUCUAUAUGUCUGAAAAAAAUGACUUUUCACCCACCUAUCAGACAUAUAGACGUCAAUUAGGACAAUCCCGACGUAUGAAAGACUAUAGACGUCAAAAUCCUUAUAAACUGACGUCUAUAUGACCAACUUAUUUAUAAAAAUACUAUAGACGUCGGGUCCUGUCUUACAUAUAGUCGAGCUUACUCAUAAUUAAUAACAUUAAACAGCUUUUUUACUAGUCACAUUAUUUUUAAUUUGAAGUUAUUUAUACAUAGAUAAAAGAUUUAUUUAAAAGAACAAACAACAGGCAAAAGUUGUACGGCACACAGCAUUUGUUAAUACCUUGUGCACUUUCUCGGUGCAAGUCACUGUGGCGGCUUUCGCAUUUCCCCAUGACACCAUUAGCCAUGCACCGUGCCAACUCAGUCCUUCCACUUCACACGUGCCACUCUUUCCCCUAUUACGUGCCAAAAAUGUUUUCUAAUAAAUAUCACUUAAAUAUAAACUAAUAAUUGUGCUAUAAUUUCAAUUUUCUUUCAUUCGUGACGUGGGUGCAUUUGGAACACUCAAAUCAAAACCACCAUAAAAAAAAUUUACUAUUUUUACAUUCUUAUUACUCCCUUAAAUAAUUUUGUAAAAUUAAAUUCUUCUUUAAUCUAAAAGUCUGUUCAUUCAGACACUAUUUUUACCAAUUCAUAUGUACUUUUUUUCAUUUUUAUUCUUUUCAGUAAAAUAAAAUUAUAUUUUAUAUGACCUUUACUAAAAAUGUUAAAAAAGAAAGUGUUUUGAAGAAAAUAAAUAGAUAAUAAUAAUUUGAAAAUAUUUUUUAUAAUAUUUUAAUAUUAUUUUAUAAUUAAUAAUAAUAAUAAUCAUAAAUAUUAAUAGAAAAUAACCAUUAAAUAAUAGGUAAAUAAUAUUAAAAUAUUGUAAAAAGAAAUACGAAAAAUAUCAUUAUAAGAAAACAAAUUCUGAUAACUUUUCCCGACAAUUGCUCAGUGUAUCGUGAAUGCGGUCUGAUUUGUUUGGUCUGUCAGCACCGCUACCUAAAACCAAUCACAACAUUAAUGAGAUAAGUGAAGAAAUCUUAAUAUUAUGAAGUUGUACAAAUGAAAAGCUUUUCACAUGCACCUCCGAUUUGACUUUUCAGUAAAGACAGGUACAUUUCCCUAUAAACAAAAAAUCUCUCAAAAUCAAAUUAAAACUCUCUUGUCAAAUUUAAUCUUAAAAUACUCCUACAAAAAUAAUAUUUAAAUUUCAGGCAUCUUUUUAAUUAAUAAAAUUAAGUAAAUAUUAAUAUUUCAUCAUUGAUGUGACUUAAUAUUUCAUAUUGAUAAAAUAAUGAUAUAUUUCAUCAUUAAUUUAAAUUUGCUUUAUUUAAUUUUUUAAAAGAUUACUAUACAUCGUAAAUAUAAAGUUUUGAUGCUCAUAUUAUUUUUGUUCAUAAAUAAAAUACGUGUGCAUAAAUAUGGCUCAGUCUAACUACAUAUAAUUUUUAUGUACAUUUUAUUUUUUGUGUGUAACUAUUUCUUAUUGUUAUAAAUGGUUGUAAUAGUAUACAGUGAUUAUCUAACAUUUUUUUUUCUUUCAGACUUUACUUUCCAACUUACUUUUGACUUUUGCUUUUGUAUUUUAAAUAGUCUUUUAACUACAGUUUUACGUCCACCAGAUAUGUAUGGUGGAAUGGUUGAACUUUUUUUAUAUAUAAAUUACUUAUUUGUAUAAUUAAAUAAGUGACCAAAUGUAUUCGUAUGGGCCUUAACUGUACGCCAGUAGAAAAUUGUCUCGUAGAGACAUAAUUAAGAAUUUUAUAAAUAAAAAAUAUAAUUAUGAAAAUUCAGCAGACACAUUUUUUAUUGUAUAUCAGUUAUCACAAAAAAAAGAAACUGGCUGGUUUUCGGUCUAAAUUGUAGUUUUAGUAGGUGAAUUUUUAUAAGAAUGAUUUUAAAACUACAAGUAAUGUUUGUGAGUUAUUUUUAGAUAAUUUCAAACUAGUAUACAACCUUAAUUAACCAUGAACCUGGUGUUUAGUUGAUAAGUAGUUAAUAGGUUAAGUUUUAGGUUGUUUUUGGUUCAUUUUAAGAGUUUUAACAAGUGAAAAAGUCUAAAGGAGUAGGUUUGUGAUAAAACUGGAGGUUUGUAGUAUGUUUUCAAGUCAAUUAUGACUUGUUUAGACACUUAGUUUGCUAAAUUUUGGUUUCUAUAGUGUAAAAUUGGUCACAGGUAUUUUGAGUUGUUGGUUGAUCUAGUGUAUAUUAUUUAUGACCAAAUGAGAAAAGUGGUACUUAGUUUAAGUCAUAAACAUGUUUUUGCAACAAUACUAGUGUCGAAUAAACCAAUUUGGUCAUUUGAAUAGGUCUAGGGUGCACCUAAAUCAGAAAAGCAAGUUUGUCUUCUGGUAUGGUAUUAAGCGAACCUAAGUGGUGCUCAACGCUGUCAAAACAUAGAGCCACUAGGAUCUAGGGUGUUUAGCGCCACUUUUCCAACAACUCAUAGUACGUUAACUGGAAAAACUUCGCUCAACUUGUAGAAUAUUUUAUCUACAUAUAGAGACAUCACAAGAACAAUCAGAACAUACCACUAUUAUCAUUGAUCAACAAAGACUCAUAUAGAUGACGAAAAAAGUGCAUGCAAGUGAAAGAAUAUCCACAUUCAACAAAUAAUAAAAAAAAAAACAAAAAAAAUGUUCAAACUCAACUUACGUUAAUAAAAAAAUUAAUCACCUCAAAUUGAAGAGCUAGUGAGGGUCAAUUAUUCAAUCAGAUGAAUAUAAUUUUCUUUAUAAAAAAAUAAAGAAUUCUAAUAAAAGUUUAUAAAAGAAUUAUAUAUUUUAAAAUAAUAAAAAUGGUUCAUAAUAAAACUAUUUAUAUUUUAAUAUUUAAUGUUAAAAUAAUUUAGUCACGUGAUAUUAUCACUUUUUUAUGGUUUUUGUUCUUUUAGGUUUUUACAGUAAAUUUAUUUGGAUAAUGUAUGCUUAAUUGUAUAAUUGUAUAUGGUGUUAAAGUUAUUAUAAUAUUUUUGUAUAUUGUAAUUUAUGUUCUUAUUUAAAUUUUAAAUAGCAUUAAAUUUUUCUUAUUUUUUAUGUCAUAAAAUUUUGACAUGUAAAGAAAUAUUAAUACAUGCAAUAGAUUUUCUCAUUAAUGAUAAAAUAAUUUACGUGUUGAUUUGUAAUGUUUUGAAAAUAAUUGAAUCAAAAUUUUGAUAGAAUAUAGCUAAGAACGUGUGAUAAUUGACUUCUAAUCCCUUUCACACAAAAAAAGAACUUCCAAAUUGAGAAGAUAAGAGAAAAAUCUUUAAACGCCCUAAUAUAAGCAUCUUUUUAUAGAAAAAUAAAUAAGCGUGUAUAAUACUAAUAAACGAAAGAAAUAUAAAAAGUUCAAAUUUUGUUAAAGAUUUUUGUUUCAUAUCUUUCCGUUUAUAUUUAUCAAUUAUUUUCAUAACAUUAAUUUAUUAGAAUUAAAAAAUAUAAGUUGCUAAUAUUUUUUAUCAUGAAAAAAAAAUAUAUGUAUAUAUGAUGUGAGUUUUAAAAGUCACGUAAAUUAUUUAAUAAAAAAUAAAAUACCGACAGGAAAUAUCUUAAAUCAGUGACAUUAAACUCCCAACUAAUAUCCUAAGCUCUUACUCUAUUGGUUUUAGUAUGUUGUUUAAGAUUAUUUAUUUAAAAUUUAAUAAUUAAUACUUUUUUAGUUUUUUAAUUUCAACAUCACCAUAAAUAUGUAUAAAUUCAUUAAAGCAGAAAUAAAUUUAAGUAACAAAGUAAAGACUAAUGUUAUCUUGAAUUUUUAAAGUUAUACUGAAUUUUUAAAAUAACAGUUAAGUAAAUAAAAUUUCCCAAUUAAAAAGUAUAUAGAAUGAUCUUUUAUUUUAUUUUUUAUAAAAAAUAUGAUGAUAAAGCAACUAAUAUCUACCAGCAAAAGAAAAAAAAAAUAAUAUUUGGAACAUAAACAGUAUCUGUGAAAGUACCAACGUGUCCCUCUUGUUGGGUAGAAAUUUUCGAUGCAGGGAAAGGAUAAUGAAAUCGAAGAUUUCUCGGGAUAUGACGUGUUUGGUUUGGCAGAUAGAUAACUGCGUUUCAGGAAAAUCAUGUAAUUAUUUUAAGCUGAAUAUAAAACGACGUCGCUGUUCCCCAUUGCAUCACGUCUUCUGCCAAGUGCCGACACAAAUUAUUUAAAUAUUUAUACCAAAAAAUAUUGUUUAAAGGGUUAAAUAUGUAUUUAGUCCCUAUACUUUAGGGCGAUUUUGGUUUUAGUCCCUCUUUCAAAUUAAGGUACAAUUUAGUCCUUCAACUUUAGAAAAUUCUGGUUUUAGUCCUUUUUAUCAAAUUUCUUUAACUUUAUUUGUUGUUUCAAACGUGUUUCUCAGUUAACAUUGAAGCAAAAAUGUGUCAAAGAGUGUAAACAAUCCAAAUGCUAUGAUGAAACGUGCUUGAAACAGCAAAUAAAGUAAAAAAAAAAUGGUAAAAAGGACUAAAACCAGAGUUUUUUAAGGUUGAAGGACUAAAUUAUACCUAGUUAGAAAGAGGGACUAAAACCAAAAUCGUCACAAAGUAUAGGGACUAAAAACAUAUUUAACCCUUGUUUAAAUAUUAUAAAGUUAUUUUAAUUAGACACAGAUGUAUUUGAAUAUAGCGAAAAACGUUAUAUUUUAUUUUCAUGUUCUUUCUUAACUGAAUAUUUUAAAUACAUUUCUGUUUUUUUUAAUCAAUACUUGCAGGCCAUGUUUUUUUUUUUUGUAUUAUUAAUAAUUACUUAUUUUGCCACGAUUAUCAUUUCAUACAUAUGACUAAUUUGUUUAUCCUAAAUAUAUUUAAAAAAUAGAGAAUAAAUGAAACCAAAUUAAGACAGCUAAUAACGCUAGACAAAGAUCAGAAUAUUUGAAAGAUAAAGACAAAAGUGAAAGAGAAAUUUAAAAACUGAGACAUUAUAAAGUUAAUCUGAAAGUUCUAAAACAACUUAAUUUAGACUAAUAUGAUAAAUUUAAAAUUUAAAAUAAUUAAUUUUAUAAUAUUAAAGAUAAAGGUAAGUUUAUAUAUAAUGACGUUAUUUCUUUCUUAAAGAAAAUAAAGAAGUAUUGAGAAUAAAAGACACGUUUUUAGAAUUAGGGAGAGCAAGUUUUCUUUUUUAAUUAUAGUUGACGUGUUUAAUUAUAAUUAUGAAAAAAUACACACUUUUUUUGUUAAUUUGCUUUAAAAAGUUCGCUAAAGAAAACACUAGAAUAAGAAUAUUAUGUUUCUUUUAUUUAUAACUUUUAAAUAAAAUUAUGAGCAUAUUUUUUUAUUGUUUUUGUAUUACUAAAAAAAAAAGUGGUGGGAUCCAGUGGAAGAUGUUGUACUGAAGUAUGAGUGUGGACGCAUUUAUAAUUUCACAAUAAGAGAUAUAUAUUAAUGUGAAUGUCAACUUCAACAUCCAUAUUUGGUUAAAGAAGGCAUGGAGCCAACAAGGGUUAGUUGCACUUGUCAAUUCAACAAUUAAUCUAAAAAGAAAAUAAAAUAAAAAAAAAUAAUAAUAAUAAAUAAAUAAAUAAUUAGUGGGCCUCAUUUUAGAUAAACAGAUAAAAAUAUUGCACAUUGCGUAUCCCAUUCCCACCACACAUUUCUUAGCUAUUUUAGGAUUUUUUUUUUUUUUUUUGCAUUUCUGGAAAAUUAUAUCUUUCAGAAGUGACAAAUUUUUAAUUCGGUUUUCUAGGUGUUCUUCCCUUAUAAAAAUUGAACUCUGCUUUUUAUAGCAUUUCAUUAUGUUUAAUCCGAUAAUAUGUUUUUAAGAUUUCGUGUUUAUUGCAUAUGACAUACAUAGACUUAUUUAUGUAAGUUAAGACAAUUUCUAUCUUAUAAAUUAAUUUUAUUUUAACACUAGUUUCAUGUGAAUUAAAACUUGAUUUGAAUAAUUUAAAUAUAUUUUCUUUCUUAAUUUCUCUAAAAUAUAUUUUUAUUUUUUAAAAAUAAUUAUGACAAUUUCAAAUAUAAUAAUCGAGCUUAAAUAAAAGGACAUUAGAAACGAAAACUUGACAUGGGAACAAAAUUAAAUUUAAACUCGUUUUUAAUACUGUUUUUUAAUCUUUUGUUCAGUGUUAAAAUUUGAAUACUGCUUUUUAUAACAUUUGAUUAUAUUUAAUAGACAAUAUUUAUAUAAAAUUUCAUGUUUUCGUAUAAUUCUUUUUAAAAGUUUUACUAAUGAAUAUAAUGGUUUCAUAAAUAACUUAAAUAUAUAUUUUAGAAAUUAAAAUAAAAAACAUUUAAAAGUAUAUUUUAGAAAUUAAAAUAAAAAUAUUUAAAAAUAUAUUUUAUAUAAGUUAAAGAGUCUCACAACUUUCAAGAAAUUUAAAAUAAUUUUAAUACUUUUUUUCACUUGUAAGACUUUUAAUAUCAAAAUAUAAUUGAGUUCAAUCUUUAAAACAGAUAACAUCUUAAAUAUACAAUGAUUAAUUAUAACGUGUCAUCUGAUAAACUUGAAAUGAUAAUAUUGACUUUCACUGUAAUAUUGAUAACAAAGUUAUCUGACGAAUAAUCAAUUUCUUAAGUUUUUCACUAAAAUGAUAAAUCAUUUUCUUAGAUAUUCACUUAAAAAAGUUAAUAAUAUAUCAUUUAAAAAUCAAGGUUUAAAAUAGUUUAAAUAUUUCUAUUUUUCCUUUCAUCCUCUAAAAACAACUUUUAAGAAUAAAUGUGUGAAAGAGUUUCAUCUUUCAAAAUAAACAAUAUAUUAGAUGUAUAAUUUUUAGUGUUUAAAAACAAAAUCAUCUCAAAAUCUCGCAUGUAAUAAUAAAACUUAAUCAUAUAUAUCAACAAAUUUAAAAUUGGAAUGUUAACGUCGCCUGCAACAAAAACAAAAAUUAUAAAGACAGAAACUUAUUAUUUCCUCAAAAAUAAAUCCGUUUAAAAACAAAAAUGAAUAUGAAAAUAAAUUAAAGUUAAACUGAAUUCUUAACACUAUUUAAAAAAAUUUAUCCAAAAACAAAAUGGUUGAUAUUAAUAUUUUAACAACUUUUUUACAAUAAAUUAUAUAUUAUUAUUUUAUUAAUUUGUAUAUUUAAAAUAAAUCAAUUAUAAAAUUCUAUAUAAUUAAUUAUAAAAAAAAUUGUUAAAAAUAUAUUUUCUAUUUUAUUAUUUACCGUUUUGUAUCGUAGGAAAACAUGUCGUACAGCGGUGCGUUGGAUUGUCCUUCCACUUGCAUUACAACUGCCAAACUACCUCACACCAACACAACACAACCCAAUAAUGCUGACUCAGUCAAAUCAUUCUUAUCUUUUUAUUUUUAUUUUAAGAUGAUUAUAUUUUAACAACAUUUUUGACAAUAUUUUUUAUAAAACAAUACGUGUCAUUAUUUUAUUGGUUAUUUGAAUUUAUAUUUAAAAAAAUAUUUUAAACAGAUAAUAACAAACUGUUACAUAUAUAUUAUAACAGAAUUGUUAAAAAAAUAUUUUUAAAAGAAAUUUUUCCUAUUUUUUAAAGGUCAUGCUGCUUUCAUUUCAACUCUUCUCAUUAUUAUAUAAUUGUACAAUAAUAACACUUUUUAUAUCUAUUUUUAAAAUAUUUCUUUUAAAUUCGUUAUUAUAUUUCACUUUUUCUUCAAAAAGUAUUUUGAAAUACAAAUUCAUAUCUUUAAUUUAAACCGUUGGUUGUAAUUUUACGAAAAUAAGUCUAAUAAAUUAAAUAUUUUCUUUUUAAUGAAAUAUAUAAACAAGUAUUUCCACUUCUAAAAUAUUAUUUUGUAGGGUUUUACAAAAAGAAAGUAAUAUUGUAUAAAUUUAUGUGAAAUAUAUUCAUUGCUUCUUAUUACACUUAAGUUAAUUAUUCUGAGACUUAAGGAUAUAUUAUAUCAUGUGUAUAAAUGUUAUAUAAAUAAAUAUGUAAAUAAAAGUGUAAAAAUAAAGAGAAAUAAAGAAGUUUUAAGCGAUUUUUAAACUUUAAUUAGUUUUCUAUUUUUCUUCUUAAUAAUAAUUAAAAAGUAGUAUACUUUAAUAUUGUUUUCUCGUACAUGUGUCUGAAUAUAAUUAAGAACUACUAGUUGAUAGAUUUUCUAUUGAAUAUGAAAUAACAACCAUUGACUUACACUGUUCUCGUAUAUCACACGUAAAUUGUCUUAGAGAAACUAUAUUUUCUAUUGACUAAUAAUAAUCAUUUAAUUAGUGCAAUAAUUGAUGCAUUUUUGACUUUGUUUCCCUCUACUUAUAUGUAUAUUUUAUUUUAAUUUGUAUGAAUUAAAUUUGGAUUAUAACGAAGUCACAUUCUCCUUUGCUAUUGAAAUUAAGGUAAUAUUUAAUUAUGUUCUUAAUUUUUAAAUUUUAAUAUAAUUUGAUCUUAAAUUUAAAAAAUAAUAUACAUGAUUUUCUUAAUACAAUUGAGUUAUAUUUUUGAAGUGGUAAACGAUUACAUUUUAAAGCGAUAUUUGAACUGUUUAUUCUAUUUAGGGUUAAAUAUGUUUUUAGUCCCUAUACUUUGGGGCGAUUUUGGUUUUAAUCCUUCUUUCAAACUAUGGUAUAAUUUAGUUCUUCAACUUUAGAAAACUCUGGUUUUAGUCCUUUUUACCAAAUUUUUUUAACUUUAUUUUUUGUUUCAAGCACGUUUCAUUGUAGCAUUUGGAUUGUUUACACUGUUUGACACAUUUUUGUUUCAAUUGGUAAAAAGGACUAAAACCAGAGUUUUCUAAAGUUGAAGGACUAAAUUGUACCAUAGUUUGAAAGAGGGACUAAAACCAAAAUCGCUCCAAAGUAUAGGGACUAAAAACAUAUUUAACUCUUCUAUUUAAGAUGUUAUAAUUGUAAUAUUAAUUUAAAACAUGUUCAAUAAAUAAAAAUAAUUAAUAUUAUUUAUUAAAAAUUACAUUUUUUUAAUUUAAUGCUUAAAAAUUAUAUUUAUUUAUAAUUCGAGUUCAAGUUUAGAAAGUAAGCACGUAUUUAAUGCUUAAAAUAAUUGAUAAAAAAAGAAAAGAUUCUUUUGAGAAAUAAAAAGUUAUUAAAGAAGAUUUAUUGUAUUAUUGUUGUUAUUAUAUUUUAUUUUAUUUUAAAAGCAGAAAGUACUUUACUUUUGUUUAUGCUUUUGCAAGAGAAUGAAUGCUUCUAAUCUUUACGUCACCUCGAAUUGUUCUGUGGGAAUCAUUAAAGUUGACAUAAAAAGUCUACACAGAAAGCAAGCCCAAUAGAUACACACAAAAAGUAAAGUUCAUCUAUAAUUACUAACAUUUUUAUAUAGUAAAAUUAUGCGUAAAAUUUUUAAUUCCUUUAAUUUUAAUUGAACUUUGUUUGAUAUUUAAAGUAAUUAAACACUCAUUUACCUUUUAAUAAUUUCUGCACGUGUUUAUAUAUUUAUUGUAAGAGUCUCAAUAAUAACUUAUUACAUGUGAAUGUUUUAAACAAUAAUAUUAAGUUAUUUUAAUAACAGUAUAAAUAUAUUUUUUUAAUUAAAAGUUUCAUUAUCUAAAAUUAUUUAUUUCUCUAAAACUUUUUUUUUCGUUUUCUCUAUAAUUUCUAAUAUUAGAUAUUGAUAUAGUGAUUUUUGAGUUGAAAUAUUUCUUUAUAAUCAAUCAAUUUCUAAAAAAAAUAAAUUGACUUUUGUUCUUUUUUUUAGGUUUGUACGUUUUAUGUAUAUUUAAUUUUUUCUCUAUAAAUUUGAAAUUUGAGUCUUCUAUUUUUUUUGUUGAUUAGUGGUAUCGAAAGUAUGCUCUGAUUAAGUUUUUACGGUUUAUAAGAGUAAAUAAGGUUUUUGAGUUGUAGGAAUAGUUAUAAAGUUUUUAAAGUCAUCUAAUCAUCAAAUAGGAAAGGGAAGUUAAUUAGUCUAUUUUUAGUUGAUGAGCAAAUUUCAGUCUACGCUUGUACGUUUGUAUGAUGAUUGAAUUUUGUAUUGUAGUGGUCAGAUGGUUUUUGACAUGUUAAGUUGGAUUGCAAAUGUUUGAAUUGGUCUCUGAAUUAUAUGUGUUUUCAAUCUUUGAAAUAAUUGAAUGAUCUAUCAUGUGGUUGAAUCGAACCUUAUCAUUUGAUUGUAUAUAAAUUAAGAAUUUUGGUUGGUUAUACAUCUAAAAUGAGUAUUAGACUAUGUUACAAACAUUGGUAAGUCAUAAUUUUGUAGAAUUGUUAUCAUGCAUAAUUAUGCAUACUUGCUAGGUGAACAUAAUUUCAUUGGACAAGCUUAAAGUUCGAGAGCUACUGGUUUUGCUGUCGUUGAUCGAGUUUUUUCAUUGUGCGAAAACAAAGUUAGUGAGCUCACUGACGAGUCUAUGGUCGUUGGGCGAGUUUAAGAUUCAAAGUAACCCUCUUUUCUAGUGGCUACGCAAGUGAGUUUCGGUAGGGCAAAUUAUGUUUGAAUUAUAAGUCUGGGAGCUCCAGUGUUAAGCUUGUUGAACGAGAUGUUCAUUCACCAAGCGAAUUUACUUGCACAUAAUAUCCUUUGAGUGAAUGAGAUGGCCUCAUUAGGCAAGAGUAACAUAGUUUAAUAAAAAUUUUCAUACGUGUUUCUUAUAAUUUCUGUUGUAAUAAGUUAAUUUAAGAAUGAUAUUAUAAUGGAUAACGUGUGAUGUGUAAUUGAAAAUGUUGAAAUCAAUCCAAGGGAAAUUGGUGAUGAGGUGUUGUAGUGUGUGCUUUAACAUAUGAAAAUUUUGAAAGUAGGAUAUCCUGAUAUAUUACUACCAUCCAUUAAACUCAUACAAAGAUAAUUGGGUAGGAGAGAGUCUAACAAGAGGUAUUUACUCUUCACUUUUGUUUUAGUUAUAAAAAGUUAACCUUGUAAGUUCUAGGGUGAUAAUUCAUGUGUUUAUAACUCUAUAGAGUAUAAAUACUAUUACAAGUGUAUGUCUAUAUUGAAUAUAUAUGUCAAAGCAUGUAUGUGAAUAAUUAAGUAUAGAGUGUUUAUUUUGUAUUUUACACGAUUGUUAUAAUAUUAUAAUGACUGAAUGAAUAUAUGAUUUGAUCAUGAUAGUUUUUUUUUUUUUUGUGUAUUGUUUUGUAAUGAUCAUUUAUGAAUGUAAAUAAAUGAUAAUGUAUUUAUUUAUAUGUCGUUGUUGUGACUGAGGAAGUUGUUAAUUAGUGUAUUAGGUUUAAUUAGAGUUUGUUUCUACGUAAAUAUUACUUUUUGAUAAAAUAGUUAGUUUUCAAAGACCUUGUACAUACCAUAUGCUCAUAUAAUUAAUAACUUGGAUAAUUAUAACAAUAUUUAGUAUGUUUCAUUUAAUCUAUUUGCUGUGAAUUAUCAAGCUUUUGAUGUUUUGUUUAGCAAUCUACACUGUUAAUAGAACGUUAUAUUUAUUAAAAACUUAGUACCAAUGUAAUUAAAUUUAAAUUUAAAGGUAAAAGGACUGAAAGAAUAAUCACUUCCAUUAUUUGGAAUCACUUUUUUAAGGGCGGAAAGGAAAAGAUAAAGAUGGUUUCAACGCUAUAAAAAGGUUCAUUUGAAUCAAAGAAAAACACGCAGUUCUAUUUAACGAAAACUGCAGAUUUUCAUAUAAGAUUGGGCCAUGGACUGAGGGAAAGUUCGAUUGGGCUUUUUCAGGUUUAAAUUUGUUUCAAGAAAUCGUAAAGAUUAUCACAAAAAUCAGUUUAGGAAUCUCAAGUUUUUCUAUAUUCAGUACAAAAUUUAGAAACAAUAUUUCUCAGAUCAUGAUUUCAAGAAAUAUAUAUAUUAUUUAAUGAAACAAAUUGUUUUGUAAAUUGCGUAAUUUCAGGUGUCUACAUUGAAUUAGAAGAUGUAAACUAUAAAUUAUCAACAGAACUUAACACAUUAUUAUAGGGCCUUAGAGCGCAGUGGGCCUCACAAAAUGAAAUGUAUUUCGAAUGCAUCUUGGAUUUAAAAAUCUAAUCCAAACCAAAAUAAAUGUGAAUUUGAUUUAAAACAAAACUCUAACAUCCACUAAAUACUAUUAAAUACUGUUAAAAAAAUAUCAUACAUUCAAUAAACAAAAAUAAUUAAUCAAAUAAAAAGAAAAUACAUAUAGAUGACUUUACAAUUACCCAAAACAUAACUAUAAAACAAAUUCAUAUAAACAACUUUAAUCUAAAACUAUGUACUUAUUCACAAAAGGUUUUUUAAAUUACAAAGUUCCAAAAAAGUCUCAUCUCCCUCUACUCACAUUCAUUAGAUAAUCAUUUCAAAUCAUAUAAUAAAAACAAACAAGCAAAAAAUAAAAUAAAAUAAAAGGAUAAGCUAAUAUUAAUAAAACAAAACAUGAAAUUUACAAAGUAACAUAUAUUAUAUUCACUUUCAACUAAGCAAAACACCUAAACAUAAAAUAUCUAGGCUGAAAUAUCCAGAUACAUUAGUUAUUGUCAAGCUAUGACAGAUUGUGUAUUUGUGGUGGUCUUUACUACUUUGUAGAGCCAUUGAUAAUGAGUUUCACCUUAGACUAAAACUUUUUGCUACUUGAGAAUUGAUAACCAUUAAAGUUUCAGAAUAACCCCUAAGGUUAAGCUACUAUAAUAAUACAUACAAUAUUUGAAACAACCAUCAAGAAUUUCACCUUAGAAACUCUUUUCAAACCGUACUGAAAACAAACAUAACUUCAUGCAUAAACCAUCAUAUAAUUCCAUUUAUAUUGUUGAACAAGCUUUAAAGUAUCAAUACAUUUCCAUCCAUAAGAAAUAGAAAAGUAGAAAAGAAAAGAAUCAAACCUAUACACAGGACACCCUAUGCCAGACUUUUGGCACUCAACACAGACCCUACUCGCCCAACAAGCUCCCCCUAAUGCCCAACAAGAGUGCAAACAGAGAAUUCUCCAAGCUUAGUGAGAACUUGGAGAACUCUAGUCCAGUCUUUGAAACACACUGGUUUUCUUCACUAAUAAGUCACCCAGUGACCCUAAGCUCGCCUAACACCCAAAAACCACUGGAAAAACAGUGCUUAGUGCUAGAAAAUAGUGGGCUUCACCCACCUAGCAUGCCUAUCUUGCUCAGCUAGUCUACAAAAUCCUACAUAAUAACAACUCUGUAGAAUUUGCAUCCAUCUACUUCAAAUUUUCUAACUCCAAACAUACCUCCACUGCACAUAGUUCAAAUCUUGUUAUUCUAAAGCUUAAAUGUAAUUCACCAACAUGCUUAUGACUUAAUUUCAAUUCCUUAUUUGAUUAUUUUGUUAAGAAUUCACACUUACCAACACCAAAUCACCAUUUAAAAGCUAAUCAUUCAAUUCUACCCAUUUCUAAACAUAUUUUGACACGCUAAGCAUCCAAGCUAGUUCUAAAUAGCCUAAAAACAUAUCUUAUACCUCAAAUUUCUCCAUCCAACUCUUACCUCAAAAUAUAACCUAUUUAAACUCCCUCUUUUUAUACCAAAUUCAAUAUAUAAUUCUACCUACUUUUGCUAUUUCUCAAUUAAACAUUAGAUUUUGGUUAACUAAGGUUUUAAACAAGUUUUAAUUGACCUAAAGACAACUCCCAAACAUCAAUUACAGUUUCAAAAUUACUCUUACAGAAAUUCACUUACCAAAACCCCAAAAUUUGACCAAAAGCCAACCAAAAAAUUCUCCAUUUACUACUACCCGUAUCACAUCAAUUUCCUACUCAAUAUAACCUAAAAAAUCAGUAUACAUUCGAAACUAGUUAGAUACUAAAAAAAAUCACAACACACCUUGAAUCACCAAUAACAUGCAUUUUACCCAAUUUUAAUCCACAUGCUCACAUAUACUCAUAUUCGUCAAAGAAUCCACUUAAACACUAAACUAAUUAAAUUUCAAUACACUAAAUAAUAAAAUAUAUUAAUAAAAUUUUAUUCAUAUCAUCAAAUAUUUAACAUUAAAAUAAUCUAUUUCAUUGUUUUAAAACAUCUAAUACUCUGUUUUUAGGUAAUUAUAAUAACUAAUUAGAUUUUGAGUUAUUAGACUUGAUAUUUUUUUUUCUUUAUAUUCGAUCCAAUUUAAUGUUUGAAUAACCGUUAUCUUUUUUUUUUUCUCUAAAACACUUUCAAGUAAAUUAAAACUAUGCAUAAGAUUUACGUAUAUUUUUGCAUUUUUUUAACAGUAAACAACCAACGAUGAAAAAAUAAAGUGGAAAGUAUACGUUUUUCAUGGGAGAAAUCUUUGUUAGAGUUUCUUUAGAUUGAUUUGAAUUCUAGGAAUACUAUAAUUGUUGUUGUUAUAACAAAUUUGGAUUUUUUUUAUUAGGUUUUAAUUGAAACACAGGUAAAUAUUUUAAAAAAGAAAAUUUAAACAGAGUUUAAAACAUUUUACAAAAAUGCAUAAACAUUAUUAUAGGAAUUAGACGACAUACAUAUAGUGUUAACACUUAAAUUAUGCAAUUAUUUUUUGAAAAUUACACUUUAUUUAUUCCGAUGUGAUUCAAUUAAUAGUAAAUAUAAGAUACUCAUUUAAUUCAUCAUAAAAAUUAAGUAUUAAAAUAUAUAAAAAAAAAUAAGCACACCAAAAAUCAAGAAUUAGAUCAAAAUUUUAAAACGUCUACCACCUAAAAUCUAAAAAUUCAACCCAAAGUCUAUCUAAAGAAGAAGAAAACUGGUAUCAAUAUAACACAACCGUAAUGUAUUACUUAAUAACAACUAAUCAAUCAACAAUUGUAAAUAAUUAACAAGAAAUAAAAUAAAUACAUAAAACAAUUGAGGAUAAAGAUAAUAUAUAUAUAUAUAUAUAUAUAUAUAUAUAUAUAUAUAUAUAUAUAUAUAUAUAUAUAUAUAUAUAUAUAUAUNAUAUAUAUAUAUAUAUAUAUAUAUAUAUAUAUAUAUAUAUAUAUAUAUAUGUAUAUAUGUAUGUAUGUAUAUAUUUGAGACCUUUACUAGAGAAUAAAAGUUACGUAAGCAAUAAAAAUUAGGAACAUUGUAAUUAAUUUUGUAUUCUUUUAAUCUGGAUUUGCUUUUCAUAAAGCAAUUGUUAUAACAUUGAACAGUUGCAAGCUUUAGAUUCCAUUAAACUUCUUCACUUUAGAUUUUUUCAAUAUCCACUUUUAUUUGUUGAAUUAUGAACCAAUUCUCCACCAAAUUCAUCGUUCAAACUAAUACAUAGUUUUGUUCAAAGUCUUAGUAAUAAAAAUUUUCAACACAAAAAUAAAAAGUUUUAAAAAAAUAGUUUUCAGAUAAAUAAUGUGUUUUAAAAACAAUAAAAUUUAUAAAACUAUUUAUAUUAAAAAUAUUUAAUAUUAAAAUAAUUGAUUUUUAAAUUAUUAUUACUUCUAAAAUAUUAUUUUUUAGAUUCUUACAAGUGUCAACUUUUAUUUUUAUUUUUGUUCAAAGUCUUAGUAAGAAAAAGUGAUGUUUGAUAUUUGUUUUAAUCAAAGUAUUGAAUUGAAAUUUUAAUUAAUAGUGAUGAUAUCGAUUUGACUUAUUUUAUGGUAAUUUUAUAGCAACCCCACCACCAUUCUUGUCAAACCUAAAUUGAAAAAGAUGGCAAUGUGAUGCAAUGAACAAAUCACCAUUGUGGCAGACAAAGACCCUUUUUUUUUCCUGGAAAAUUCUUCUACCACCGUCAAGCUUCCCAUUAAUCUUAAUAGCUUGUCUAUAAAGUAUUAAUACUUUUAUAAUACCAAUAAUUAAUGAUUUUUAUGUUAAUAACUUUAAUAAAUAUAAUUUUAUUUUUGAUUCGCACAUAAUUAUCAUGCAAUCUUAUUAUUUUUAACAUCGAUAUAUCUGAUGCGUUUAAUAUAUAUAUCCUUGCAUCAUCGGAUGACACUUUUUAUUAUUAGGUUUAAAUCAUUAUGUGUUCCUAUUUUCGGAAGAUUUUUCCAUUUUGAUUUCUGUCUUAUUCAAAUUUUCAAUUGUGUCUCUUAAUUUUAAUCAGUUAAACUCUUGUCGUAAAAUUUAGUUAACGGGUUAAUUUUUUUGCACAAUGGAAGAAUGACUUGUUAAUUUCUGUAAACGUGACCUAUUUAGAGUUGAAACGAGACAUGAAUUGAGUCUCAUAAGUGCUAAUUUCAAUCGAUUUCAACUCGUGCUAAUUUCAAUCAAUUUUAACUCUAAUUCAUGCCACCUUUCAACUCUAAAUAGGUCAUGUUUAUAGAAAUUAACAGAUCAUCCUCCCCGCUGUGAAAAAAGUUAAUUCCAUUAACUAAAUUUAAUGAGAGGGGCUUAAUUGAUAAAAAUCUUCCUAAUAUAGACUAAAUGAUUUAAACCUUAUUAUUAUUCACUUCUCAAUCACCACACUCCGUAAAGUAAAAGCUUCUUCCAUUCCAACGCAAACAAAAUCAAUCAAAAAUACUUCAUUUUCAAUCAAACUAUUGUUUAUUUGAAUCUUGCAUUUCAUCUUUCUGAUAUCCAUCCAAGUGAAUUUUAGUUAUCGCAUUUUUUAUAUAUAAUUUACAACUUCAAAAAGGUUUAAUUGUGUUCUUUCUUCAUCACCAGAAAAAGAAAGGAAAUGGGACAAGAGUUGAUAAAAUCAAACUUGUGUUUCAUUUAAGAUUAAGGAAGGUGAGGAAGUGAGAAAGAUAAAAAAAAAAAUCAUACUAAUUAAAGAUAACUGCGUGCUAAUCUCCUAUAUUAUUACUACAAUUACAAUUACAACCUAAUUAACUCCGAAAACAACAGAAACAAAGAGAUGAGGAGCCUUGUAGAUUCAGAUUUCCUUUUCCUGUUCGGAGAAAACAAGGCAGACCCAAACCUACACUGUUACGGCAGCUUAAACCGGCGGCGCGUGCGUCUCACACGGACGCAGAUUUCUACGCCCCGCCGCCCUCGGCGGCUUCCGGCGCCGCGGCGUUCAAGUCAAAACCCUCAAUUACGUUAGCCACCUCCCCACGCUUUUUCUUUGGGUUGGCAUCAUCACCUUCUUGCUCGCCGUCGGCUUCUUCGCUGUGGUCCACCGCGAGCUCCGCCGUCUCCAGCACCUCCCGCCACUCCCUGCCGCCCCUCCCUUUGUCGUCAAAGUACUUAACGGCCACCCUCAUCCUCCUCAGUAUGGCGAAAAACUCCUCCACCUCCUCCUCCGUGGGAACCCCAUCACCACCGCCUUCUUCUUCUUCUUCGCCCUUUAACCUCUUUUUGUUCACUCUCUCGCCUUCUUCUUCCACUCUGGUGACCCUCUUGUUCUUCCUCUUCUCCAUUUCCAUGACGGUGACGGUGACUCAGAUCCCACAAGGCAAAAUCAAAAUUAACAAGAAUUACAUACACAUUGUUUCCUUCAUCUCAAGAUAUAUCAAUUCAAUUAAUGUUCCCCUUUGUAAAUAAAGACUACAACUUUUCCUAUUCUUCAAUCAACAUAUAAUAUAUAAAGUAAUAUCUAUGCACAGUCCAAAAGACUACUCAUUUUAUUAAUAAUUUAAAUAAAUUAUUAACCUGUGCUUUCACUUUUGGGUGAAUUUUCUUUUUUUUUUCCUUGAAAUAUUAUGAGACGACGGAGAGUGUCAAAUUACUUAAAUUAUAUUAAAUAUUAUUAUGAAUUUGGGCAUUUCAAUUUGACGUCCCAGACAUUUAUUCUUAUAAAUUAUAAUAUAAAGUUUAUCCAUAUACUUAACUGUUUUAUUUAUAAUAUAUAAAUAUAAUAAAAUAACUCAAUCAAAAAAACUAAUAUAAUUACUAGAUUUAUUUUGCAUGGUUAGGAUAAUGCCAAACGGAGACAUUUUAUUAUUACUUUUAAGCAGUAAAUACUGAAUACGUAUAUACCUAUAAAUGGUACGUCUACAACAAAUUGCUUUUAUCCCUAAAUAGUAUAAAAGAAACAUAGAACUACGUAGACUGAAAAAAAUAAAAUUAAAACAUGAUGAGAUGUCAUAUAAUAUAUUGUUGUAGAUUAAAAGAAUAUAUUAAAUGGAAUAUAUAUUAUAUAUGUCGGUGCUAUUGUUUUAUUCAUUUAUGAAUUUGAUUGUUGUGUUUGCAUGUUCGUAACGUGGGAGGACUAUUGACAAAUUAUACCAUUUCUUUUGGAUGAUCAUAAACAAAGUUGCUGCUUUAAAUUUGAUUUAUUGCCGUAGCUAGCUUUUUCUUUUCCAUGUUGAUGUGUGAUUAAUUGGUACAUUUAUCAUGUGUUAAUCGUUUGUUUCUUCAAUAUCUUAAUUAUAUAGCCCAGGAAAUAAUUUAAAUAAAAAUGUUAAAUGCUAAUAUAUUUGUAUUCAUUGUAAACAAAAGUAAUUAUUCUCACUACAUACAAUAUUUUACAUCAUUUAAUCAAAUUACACUUUUAAGCAUUUAUACACAUAUUGCUAUUUAAAAUACAACCAUGUGGAACACAUGUUUGAUCACGUACCACUCCAAAACAGCAUUCACUCCCAAAAACUCCAUUAACUAACAACGUGGUAAUAAUUAAAAUUUUAAUUAUUUGUACAAAAUAAUUAAAAAAAUAUAUUUGUAUUUCUUCUAAAUGCAAUUAUCCCUCUUAAACUAAAAUAGAAUGUUAGAUCUUGUAUCUAUUGAUGUUAUAUAUUGUUAUAACCCACUGAAUAAAUUUUAUCUUCAACGGUACGGUUUAAAUUUAAGUGAAUGAAAAAUAUGGUAAAAAUUGAAUUUUUACAGGAUUUUUUUUAGGAAAGAUAUGUCCUUACACAAUAUUAAAUUGUGCUCUGAAUACAAAUAUCUUAAAGAAAAAAACUUGUCUAACGAAUACAUUUUUAGUAAAAGAAAUAUUUUAAUCAUAAAAUAAACUAUUCAUAAACUUGUCUUAAACCCUAAGUUUUUCUUUUACUUUAUUAAAUGAUUUUCUAUUUGGUGCGUAAUUAUAUUAAAUUAUUGGAAAUGUAGUAGUUUAAUGAGAAUAAAAAAAGUUGGAGAUUCGUGGAAAUUAGAGAAGCAAAGUGGAGAGUGGUUGGAAGAUGACGCGUGAGAAGGUGCGUGAUUAUGUCAGGAAAUUCGAGAAGAUGACGUCAUGAGAUUGCGUAUGGGUUAAAAUGUACCAUUCUUUGUCCAUCCCUAUGCUAGUAGACAAUGACUGUUCCCCCUCACUCUCACACGCAUUCAUGUGCGUGUACUUUAUACGCUCCAAGGCUGAUAUUUUAGUAAAUUAAAUUUAUAUUUUUACAUUAAAUUUUAAUUAAAGAGUAUAACUAAAUAAUAUAGUAUCAGUGAUUUGGUGUCUAGGAGAAUUCACAAAAAAUUUUGCUUAUAUGUAGAUAUUUAUUAUUUGUAAAAAACUAAAAUUAAAAAUAUAUUUUAUUAGAUUAAAUUUAAUUAAAAUUAAAAUUAAUUUAUAUUAUAUUUUAUAUACUAUUAUGGGAUUUUUUUUAUAGAUACUAUUAUGGGAUUUUUUUUAUUACAAAUACAGUGAAAAUUCAAUGCCAAUUCAUUGUAAAAAAAAGUAGCAGAAUAUUACGAUUUAAUCGUCUCCAAUUUUUUGGAAGUCGUAGGUCGAUUUUUUAUUUUUUAUUUUUUAUUUUUUGUUUUAAUUGAGUUUUAAAUUUGUUGUUUUUUUUAAAUUAAAGUGAUGUAGCUGUUGAAAAUUUUAUAUCAAUUAGAAAUAAGACCAAUUUAUAAUAUAUUAUAACAAAUAUCAUUUUACAAGUCAAUUUUGAAGUGUUAAAUUAGGCUUAAUACUUCUUAAUAGCUAUUCUCAUUAAAUUCACUCAAUAACAUUAAAAAAAUAGUGACUAGACACGUUAUGGAUUUUUAAAAUGACAUGACUAAAAAAAAUCUUAGCAAAGUUCUUUAUUAUGUAUGUCGAGCUUUAAACUAUACAAACUAAUCUUUACCGUAGAUUAUACUUUCUACCUUUAUUGAGACUCCUCAUUUUAAAAAUCCAUAAUAGUUAUUAGUUUUUUAACAAUUUAACAACAAUGACUAUAUUACGUUAAUUUUUUAAAAUUACAAACUUAAUUAAAAAAAUCAAAAGACGAAUCGAUCUACAACUUCCAACAGAAAAACAUAAACUACUGAUUAAACCAAUUCUUACAAUAAAAGAUUUUCGUAUUGUUGAACUUAUAUAUUAAUGAUUUGAUUCGUUUGUUCGUCAUAUAACAGUUUAAAACUCAUCUUAAAUUAUGAACAUAUAAUUGAUAAUUUUGUAAUAUUUUAGUAUACUUUUUUCUUAAAUUUUAAUAUGUUUUUACUUUUACUUUAUUGUUAAGCACACGCUUUAAAAAACAAAAUAAUUUAAUUUUCAGUUUUAUGUGAAAGUUAAUAAAAUUAUGGUAAUGAGUUAUAUCUUAACAUAUUUCUCUUCAUACAAAUUUAUUAUUUGAAUAUCAAAUAAAUAUUGUUAUAUUUGACAAAAUGUUAUUUUCUAUACACGUGUCACAGUUCCCUUCCAAAAUUAAUAAGGACACCUAAAAAUGAGUGUUGAAUUCAACAAUUUUUUCGCAUUUAUAAUGUAUCGUUUACAAAAUUUGGAUCACACAUCAUUCCUUUUUAAUGCAAUACAAUUUAAUUAAUUUUUUGGUAAAAAAUAAAAUUAAAAAUGUGGUGAGUUACCUUAGAAGUAUUAAAACAUUAAAUAAAUUUAAAUUAAAAUAUAUUCUCUAAAACUUUUAAUUUACAUUUUUCUAAUAAAUAAGUUUAAUAACUUUAAACUAUCACCCUAUUGUGAUAGUUCAAUUAUUACAGCAUAGGUUAUUACAGAGAGUAAUAAUUCUCUCCAAAUAAGUUAACUUCGUGUCAAUAUCAACCUGCUGCAUCAAUUAUUGCAUUUGCCAAACUUUGACUAAGAAUAAGAAUGUAAAAUUAAAGAAAUGUAGAUUUUAAUGUUGUUCAGGAGUUGGUAUACUUUUAUUUAUUCCAUUAUUAAAAUGAUUAAUUGAAAUUUAAAACUCUUGAUAAUUUACAUAUUUUUAAUUAAAUUUAUAUAUAUAUAUAUAUAUAUAUAUAUAUAUAUAUAUAUAUAUAUAUAUAUAUAUAUAUAUAUGUGUGUGUGUGUGUGUGUGAAUUUAACAUUAUUUUGACUAAUAAAAAAAUAUUAGAGUUAAUAUAUAAUAACUUUUAUUAUUUUGAUUAAAAAUAUACUGGACAGUUUAAAUGUUUUUUCUUUCCUUUUAGCGUGUGUUCGCUUGAAUAGAUUUUACUGUUUAAGCGAAUUUGCGAGCGAUGAUUUACGUUUUAAUCGUGUUCGCUUCCGCUGAUUACAUGUGCUGAUUUAUAACCAAGUACUUAUAUACCCUUCAAUGUAAAUAUGCAGCUUUCAUAAUAUUCAAAAACCAUAAUAUUAAAUAUUAAUGUUAAUAUUAAAAAAUCAAAAUGUGAAGGCAACAGGAACUGAGAAAGCAUAAAAUAAAAUGCACUGUGGUUUCACGAGAGCACAUUAUUCCUUUGCGCAUGUGAUUUUGCAGCUUCCUUUUCAGUCCAUUGCACUGUGUGUGGUCAAGAGUAGCAGUGGUGGAGAGCUGUGGAGAGUAAGAGCUUUUCUUGUGCUGAGAUAAUGUUUGUGGCUUGUGGGUUUUGCAGAUGAAGAAGACGAAGCCGUGAUGUAUUCCAAUCCAGAGAAAGUGUAUCUGGAUCCAUCGUUUUCGAAGAUUUUGUGGAGGAACGAUAUCCGGAUACAGUCUUAGCGUAUCCAGAUCCAGGUUGUUCAUCAUUUGCGAAGGAGGCGUAUCCGGAUACAGUUUCGCAUAUCCGGUUCCAGGCGACCGUUUUCCGGUUCUUUGGAUGACAGCGAUGGGUUGUUUCCGGUUGCAGUCACCGGUUGGCCAUGUCUUCCUUCCUUGUUCCGUCGCAACAGCUGGCUUAGGACGUGUGUUAAGCUUCGUGUAUGGGUGAUGCGGUUAUCGUCUUCUUCUCCAUGUAGCCUCCAUUCGAAGUUGUUGUUGUGAACAUGGUUGAUGGUGCGCAUGGUGGGCAUGGAGAUCGUUCAUAAUUAUUUAUAAUUAAUAUUAAUUAAUUUCCUCUCUUUAUUAACAUUUAAUCAUUUAAAUAUAACAUUCAAAAAUAAUAUUUUAUAUUAGGCUUAAUAGCACUAAUGGUCCCUAUUUUGGUUGCCAAUAUUCGAUUUGGUCCCCAUUUUUUUUUUUGUUCAAUUUAGUCCUAAAGUUUGAUAAUUUUGUUCAAUUUGGUCCUUUUCACAGACGGCGUUUAAAUUGGUAACGGAAGACCUUCCAACAGUGCCAAACAGUUCCAACAGUGCCAAACAGUGUGGCGAUGUGGCAUUUGUCAGCCCAUGUGGAGUCCGUUUAGUGAUUUUGAAAUUCUAAUUUGAAAAAUAAUUAGAAUUAGGGAUUGCAUUUNUGAAAAAUAAUUUAGGGAUUCUAGGGUACCCCAAUUUAUGAGCAGAGAGUGAAAUUAGGUUUAGGGUUCUUCUUCUUUUUGCAAUAGCUCCCAAUCUUCAUAGUUGAUGAGCCAUGUCUCGUUCACAAUGUUCUUCUUCUUUUUGCAAUAGCUCCGACAACCGAAGUUCUAAUUUGACACUUGAUGGGGGUUCAAUGGGGGUAGGGAUAAUCCCCAUUUGCAAUUGUGGUGAGUUGGCUGUAGUAAAAAUGGCUAGAACUUCNAAGAAUGCUGGAAGAUACUUUUGGGGUUGUCGAAACUACAAGGUGAUUUGAAUAAAGCAUCUGUAAUUGUAGCUUUUUUUCUUGCCUAUUUUCUUUGUGUUUGUUAUUAACAAUGCUUUUNAUGAAUAACAGAGUGGAAAUGGUGUGAUGUGUUGUAACUAUUUCAAGUGGUGCAAUGAAGAGAAGGUUGAUGAAAGGGAUGUUAUCAUUGGUAGCCAAAGGAGGAAGAUUUGUGAGAUGGAGAAGAGAUUGAGUGCUUUGACGAGAANGAACCACUUCUUAGUAGCAGUGAUNUGUGUUCUUAGUGUAGUGGUCUGUGUUCUUAGUGUAUGUAGUGUGUAUUUUUAGGUUGAUGUGUUGAAAGUGUGGUUGAUGUGUUGAAACUGUGUUUUUAGGUUGAUGUGUUCUGUGUUUUUAGGUGGUGUGAAUGUACUUAUGUUUUGUUAGGUGGUCGCUUUAAACGACUGUGCUUUGUAUUGAAGGAAUGAAUGAAUUACAUUUGGUGUUCAAAUUAGUCCUCAUUUCAGUUAAGUUUGUUNAAUUUGGUCCUCAAUUUCAGUUAAAAAUGUUCGCAUGUGGUCCUGAUGAUGUUGAUAGUGGUUAAAUAUGUACGCCAAAAUUGAAGUNNNNNNNNNNNNNNNNNNNNNNNNNNNNNNNNNNNNNNNNNNNNNNNNNNNNNNNNNNNNNNNNNNNNNNNNNNNNNNNNNNNNNNNNNNNNNNNNNNNNNNNNNNNNNNNNNNNNNNNNNNNNNNNNNNNNNNNNNNNNNNNNNNNNNNNNNNNNNNNNNNNNNNNNNNNNNNNNNNNNNNNNNNNNNNNNNNNNNNNNNNNNNNNNNNNNNNNNNNNNNNNNNNNNNNNNNNNNNNNNNNNNNNNNNNNNNNNNNNNNNNNNNNNNNNNNNNNNNNNNNNNNNNNNNNNNNNNNNNNNNNNNNNNNNNNNNNNNNNNNNNNNNNNNNNNNNNNNNNNNNNNNNNNNNNNNNNNNNNNNNNNNNNNNNNNNNNNNNNNNNNNNNNNNNNNNNNNNNNNNNNNNNNNNNNNNNNNNNNNNNNNNNNNNNNNNNNNNNNNNNNNNNNNNNNNNNNNNNNNNNNNNNNNNNNNNNNNNNNNNNNNNNNNNNNNNNNNNNNNNNNNNNNNNNNNNNNNNNNNNNNNNNNNNNNNNNNNNNNNNNNNNNNNNNNNNNNNNNNNNNNNNNNNNNNNNNNNNNNNNNNNNNNNNNNNNNNNNNNNNNNNNNNNNNNNNNNNNNNNNNNNNNNNNNNNNNNNNNNNNNNNNNNNNNNNNNNNNNNNNNNNNNNNNNNNNNNNNNNNNNNNNNNNNNNNNNNNNNNNNNNNNNNNNNNNNNNNNNNNNNNNNNNNNNNNNNNNNNNNNNNNNNNNNNNNNNNNNNNNNNNNNNNNNNNNNNNNNNNNNNNNNNNNNNNNNNNNNNNNNNNNNNNNNNNNNNNNNNNNNNNNNNNNNNNNNNNNNNNNNNNNNNNNNNNNNNNNNNNNNNNNNNNNNNNNNNNNNNNNNNNNNNNNNNNNNNNNNNNNNNNNNNNNNNNNNNNNNNNNNNNNNNNNNNNNNNNNNNNNNNNNNNNNNNNNNNNNNNNNNNNNNNNNNNNNNNNNNNNNNNNNNNNNNNNNNNNNNNNNNNNNNNNNNNNNNNNNNNNNNNNNNNNNNNNNNNNNNNNNNNNNNNNNNNNNNNNNNNNNNNNNNNNNNNNNNNNNNNNNNNNNNNNNNNNNNNNNNNNNNNNNNNNNNNNNNNNNNNNNNNNNNNNNNNNNNNNNNNNNNNNNNNNNNNNNNNNNNNNNNNNNNNNNNNNNNNNNNNNNNNNNNNNNNNNNNNNNNNNNNNNNNNNNNNNNNNNNNNNNNNNNNNNNNNNNNNNNNNNNNNNNNNNNNNNNNNNNNNNNNNNNNNNNNNNNNNNNNNNNNNNNNNNNNNNNNNNNNNNNNNNNNNNNNNNNNNNNNNNNNNNNNNNNNNNNNNNNNNNNNNNNNNNNNNNNNNNNNNNNNNNNNNNNNNNNNNNNNNNNNNNNNNNNNNNNNNNNNNNNNNNNNNNNNNNNNNNNNNNNNNNNNNNNNNNNNNNNNNNNNNNNNNNNNNNNNNNNNNNNNNNNNNNNNNNNNNNNNNNNNNNNNNNNNNNNNNNNNNNNNNNNNNNNNNNNNNNNNNNNNNNNNNNNNNNNNNNNNNNNNNNNNNNNNNNNNNNNNNNNNNNNNNNNNNNNNNNNNNNNNNNNNNNNNNNNNNNNNNNNNNNNNNNNNNNNNNNNNNNNNNNNNNNNNNNNNNNNNNNNNNNNNNNNNNNNNNNNNNNNNNNNNNNNNNNNNNNNNNNNNNNNNNNNNNNNNNNNNNNNNNNNNNNNNNNNNNNNNNNNNNNNNNNNNNNNNNNNNNNNNNNNNNNNNNNNNNNNNNNNNNNNNNNNNNNNNNNNNNNNNNNNNNNNNNNNNNNNNNNNNNNNNNNNNNNNNNNNNNNNNNNNNNNNNNNNNNNNNNNNNNNNNNNNNNNNNNNNNNNNNNNNNNNNNNNNNNNNNNNNNNNNNNNNNNNNNNNNNNNNNNNNNNNNNNNNNNNNNNNNNNNNNNNNNNNNNNNNNNNNNNNNNNNNNNNNNNNNNNNNNNNNNNNNNNNNNNNNNNNNNNNNNNNNNNNNNNNNNNNNNNNNNNNNNNNNNNNNNNNNNNNNNNNNNNNNNNNNNNNNNNNNNNNNNNNNNNNNNNNNNNNNNNNNNNNNNNNNNNNNNNNNNNNNNNNNNNNNNNNNNNNNNNNNNNNNNNNNNNNNNNNNNNNNNNNNNNNNNNNNNNNNNNNNNNNNNNNNNNNNNNNNNNNNNNNNNNNNNNNNNNNNNNNNNNNNNNNNNNNNNNNNNNNNNNNNNNNNNNNNNNNNNNNNNNNNNNNNNNNNNNNNNNNNNNNNNNNNNNNNNNNNNNNNNNNNNNNNNNNNNNNNNNNNNNNNNNNNNNNNNNNNNNNNNNNNNNNNNNNNNNNNNNNNNNNNNNNNNNNNNNNNNNNNNNNNNNNNNNNNNNNNNNNNNNNNNNNNNNNNNNNNNNNNNNNNNNNNNNNNNNNNNNNNNNNNNNNNNNNNNNNNNNNNNNNNNNNNNNNNNNNNNNNNNNNNNNNNNNNNNNNNNNNNNNNNNNNNNNNNNNNNNNNNNNNNNNNNNNNNNNNNNNNNNNNNNNNNNNNNNNNNNNNNNNNNNNNNNNNNNNNNNNNNNNNNNNNNNNNNNNNNNNNNNNNNNNNNNNNNNNNNNNNNNNNNNNNNNNNNNNNNNNNNNNNNNNNNNNNNNNNNNNNNNNNNNNNNNNNNNNNNNNNNNNNNNNNNNNNNNNNNNNNNNNNNNNNNNNNNNNNNNNNNNNNNNNNNNNNNNNNNNNNNNNNNNNNNNNNNNNNNNNNNNNNNNNNNNNNNNNNNNNNNNNNNNNNNNNNNNNNNNNNNNNNNNNNNNNNNNNNNNNNNNNNNNNNNNNNNNNNNNNNNNNNNNNNNNNNNNNNNNNNNNNNNNNNNNNNNNNNNNNNNNNNNNNNNNNNNNNNNNNNNNNNNNNNNNNNNNNNNNNNNNNNNNNNNNNNNNNNNNNNNNNNNNNNNNNNNNNNNNNNNNNNNNNNNNNNNNNNNNNNNNNNNNNNNNNNNNNNNNNNNNNNNNNNNNNNNNNNNNNNNNNNNNNNNNNNNNNNNNNNNNNNNNNNNNNNNNNNNNNNNNNNNNNNNNNNNNNNNNNNNNNNNNNNNNNNNNNNNNNNNNNNNNNNNNNNNNNNNNNNNNNNNNNNNNNNNNNNNNNNNNNNNNNNNNNNNNNNNNNNNNNNNNNNNNNNNNNNNNNNNNNNNNNNNNNNNNNNNNNNNNNNNNNNNNNNNNNNNNNNNNNNNNNNNNNNNNNNNNNNNNNNNNNNNNNNNNNNNNNNNNNNNNNNNNNNNNNNNNNNNNNNNNNNNNNNNNNNNNNNNNNNNNNNNNNNNNNNNNNNNNNNNNNNNNNNNNNNNNNNNNNNNNNNNNNNNNNNNNNNNNNNNNNNNNNNNNNNNNNNNNNNNNNNNNNNNNNNNNNNNNNNNNNNNNNNNNNNNNNNNNNNNNNNNNNNNNNNNNNNNNNNNNNNNNNNNNNNNNNNNNNNNNNNNNNNNNNNNNNNNNNNNNNNNNNNNNNNNNNNNNNNNNNNNNNNNNNNNNNNNNNNNNNNNNNNNNNNNNNNNNNNNNNNNNNNNNNNNNNNNNNNNNNNNNNNNNNNNNNNNNNNNNNNNNNNNNNNNNNNNNNNNNNNNNNNNNNNNNNNNNNNNNNNNNNNNNNNNNNNNNNNNNNNNNNNNNNNNNNNNNNNNNNNNNNNNNNNNNNNNNNNNNNNNNNNNNNNNNNNNNNNNNNNNNNNNNNNNNNNNNNNNNNNNNNNNNNNNNNNNNNNNNNNNNNNNNNNNNNNNNNNNNNNNNNNNNNNNNNNNNNNNNNNNNNNNNNNNNNNNNNNNNNNNNNNNNNNNNNNNNNNNNNNNNNNNNNNNNNNNNNNNNNNNNNNNNNNNNNNNNNNNNNNNNNNNNNNNNNNNNNNNNNNNNNNNNNNNNNNNNNNNNNNNNNNNNNNNNNNNNNNNNNNNNNNNNNNNNNNNNNNNNNNNNNNNNNNNNNNNNNNNNNNNNNNNNNNNNNNNNNNNNNNNAAAAAAAAAAUGGGGACCAAAUCGAAUAUUGGCAACCAAAAUAGGGACCAUUAGUGCUAUUAAGCCUUUAUAUUACUUUAAUAACUAGGGGUAUUUUGGUAAUCUUUAACUUCUACCAAUUAAACUAAUUUUUUAAAUUUGUCAAAUCAAUCAAAUCCUACACUAAUUCUCACAAACUUUACCUUCAAAUCCACUCUCAAUUACCCACAAAUUCACUCAAAAAACAACAAAAUAAUUACCCUCAAAUCUACUCAAAUCUAUUUAAAUCAUCCUUCGAAUCAUCCCCUCAAAUUCGUUCAAAAGAACACACCCUUAAGGAUAAAAUAAUAACAAAAUUUUAUGCUCCAAAAUACACAACAUUUUAAAUAUACGAUGAUUGUUCUUAAUGUAUCAUUAGAUUAAGUCUUCGAAACUUAAAGAUAAUUUAAAUAUAUUUUUUCUUUUUUUAUCUUUUAAUUUUUUUAAAAAAUAAAAUCAUGACAAAAUUUUAUAUUUUAAAAUAAAUAAUAUUUUAAAUAUAUGAUUAUUGAUUAUAAUAAUAUCGUUAUAAUACAAACAAUAUAACAUGUUUUAUUUUGUGUCUAAAUAUAUUAAGAAAUUUAAGACUAUGUUGACUAAUAUAAAUUUUAUUAGAGUUAAUAUAUAGCAACUUUUAUUAUUUUAAUUCUUUUAUAAAAAUGUUGUCUUAUUUUUUAUUAAUUUUCUAAUCCAUUAACAAAUUAUCACAAAUAACAACCACAACCAACACUUUUUUUGUAAUUUAUUUAUAUUAAUCAUAAAAAAAUAUAAAAUUUAUAUAUUUUAAUACAUAAAAAUAACCAAUACAAAUGUUUAAACAAUACAACGAUUACUUUAUACGAAAAGGUAAAUAAAAUAAUUUGAUUAAAAAUAUAAUUUUUUAAUAUAAUCAAUAAAUAAAAGAAAGUAAUAAAACACUUCUAAAAAUAUUAAAAUUCAUAAAUAGAAAACUUAUAACUCAUUAGUACAAAAAUAUAUUUUAUGACAUACAAAAGCUAAUUAUAACGUAUAUAGUAUUUUACGUAAUUAUUUUUGUAGUUAUAAAAUAUGAUUUUUAGACUAAUAUUAAUUUAAAAUCUGAAAAGGGUGAGUGGCGCGUGAAUAUGUUGGUUGAAGAGAAAGUUGAAAUUGUUGCGUUGGAUGCUUAUUCAAUGAUUCCAAAGUGGACCCAUCAACUUAAUUUUCAACACAUUAAUAGUAUAAGGAAUUCUCUGCUUUCAAAAAAUCUGAUUUUUUAACAUUGAAAGAAAAAAAUUGUGAACUGUAUCUAAUGUAAUUGGUUGAAUGAUGCGUCUCUAUUUAUAUAUUUUUACCAAAAAAUUUCAAAAUUUGAAAUAAGAACAAAAUUAAAAAUCACAUUAUAAUUUAGAAAUCAAAAUUAUAAAUAAUGUUACUAUAGACUAAUACCAGAUAACUGUGUUAAACUAAAAAGAGAGAAUCGAACUAUUAACGUGUAAGAAGACUUUUUAUGACUAUUUGAUUUUGACUAUAAAUUAAUGAUUAUUAUUGAAUUACAAAAAGUUUAAAGAGAAAAAUUUUGACUUGAAUGUUUGGAGUAUAUUCUGCAAGUUAUCCUUUACAUCGAUCGAUCAUUCAGGAUAAAGAACAAAGCAUCGACAGAGAGAAACUCUUCAAACGGUUAUUUUCGUUUCAUUUCAACAUGAACAUAAUCCUUAAUUAAAUCACAUCCAUGUUCUAUAUAAAUAGGGUUUUAUUUUAUGACAUUCAAAAAUUAUUUUAAUCUUUUUCAAAUUUUAUAAUUCUUCAAAUUUAGAAAAAGUUAAUUAAUAUGAAAGAUUAUGCCGUUAGGUGUGGAAAGUUUUGUUUAUAGAUAUAGAAAAUAAGAAGAAGAAUAAGAAGAAAUAUAGUGAGAAGAGGUGAAAAAAAAUCUAGUUGAUGUGGUUGGCUGAAAAAUUCCACAGAGAAACCGCAGAGGAAGAAAAACGUGAGCCACAAGAGUGGACUUAAAUACAUGGCCAUCCCCGAUGUUGAUUUGACCAAAGGAUGUCUCAAAACAAUUUUCCACAGUUGGGACAAUUCCAACACAUUACAGAAAAGAAGAACAUAUAUUCAAACACCAACAACAAAUAGUACUAUAUCCUUCUACUUUCAUUACUACACCACUUUAAACUUUUUUGUAAAGCAAUUAAGUUUGUCUUUAUAUAUGCAUGUCAGUUUUUAAUUUACUUCAAAGUAAUAAAUGUUUCGGAUGUAAAUCUUUUUACAAGUUUUUCAACACUUUGAGUUAGGUUUUCGUCAUAAAGUUUUUCUUAAUUUUUAAUAUUGCGAAAGGCAUUAUAAUGUUUAAGUUACACUGUGAAUCGAUUAUUACAGUAAAAUUUUAAAUUUAUAAUAAAUAUAAUAAUAUAUGUUUUUAUUUAUUUUUAUAUUCAUGGUUUGGAAAUAAACUUUUAAUUAGGAUAAACUUAAUCACAACCUAAAAAUUAAUGAAUGUGUUUUACUUAUAAAUGUGUUUAAUUUAUAAUGUAGAUAUCUAAUAAAUGUUUAACCGAAUCAUGACUCAUUUUUUGGAAUAAUCUUUCGGUUUAUAAAAUAAGUGAAAAUGGAAAUGACACUCUUAAUGACACUCACAUUUUUUUAUGAUCUUUCAAAAACAUCGAUCAUUCGGUUAAUGAAAAAUGGUCCAUCUUAUAAUACGAUAAAUCUUAGAAAGGAAAGUCUAAUCAACAAAAAUAAAAUACAACAUAUUCUUAGUCAUAUUAUAAGAAUUUAUAAUAAUAACAAAUAAAGAAAACAAUGAGAAGUUAAUUUUUUUAUCACAAUAUAUUACUUAAAUAUAUUAGGUAAUUAUCUUAUUGGUUAAAAUUAUAAAGAUAUAUUAAUAUUAAAUUUACGAUUAAGGAGAUAAUUGUUAUGAAAGAUAAUUAUCCGAUUAAUUAAAAUUAUAAAAUGAUAUGUUAAUAUUAAGUUUACGACUAUAAAUAUAAUUGUUAUGAAAACUUGCGUAGAUAUCAUAACAUAAUAUUCUAAUUUGACAAUGAACUGAAUUAGAAUUAUUAAUAUUUUAAAUAUGAUUUAAAAUAGUUAUAAAAUGGAUUAUGAUUUUCAUUUGUAAAUUAGAUAACAUUAUUUAUGUAUUAAGAUUUUAUUUUGUUUAAGACAAUGUAGAAUUGAAAUAUCACAUACACGGUAAUCUUAUCAUCCACAUUAUUUUUAAUGAGAAACUCAUAUAUUGUAUAAUAUGAUUGUCUGGUUAUCCCUGUAUCGGAUGAUCCAAACUGUCAGCCACUUCACAAACAUGACCACGACGACUAUCUCGAGACCAAGCGGUUGUAACUUUGAGAUUGAUCGAUCACCCUUCAAAACAAUUAAAUCUAAUACUGAUUAAUUUAUGGCAAAACAUGAUUUGUACCAAUUGGAUCAUGAGGUCGUCAAUAAUCUAAAGUUCAUUCUGAAAUCUAUAAAUACAUGUUUGACAUAAAGUGAUAUAUUAGAAUAAUUAAUACUCAUUUAAUACCAAAACUAUCAAAUCUUUAAUGAUUUUGACAUCAGAGUAUAUUCUACAGUUGAUCGAACGAGAUUUUAGAACAAACAAUGACAAAGACGAACAUUUGCUUCUUCAAGAUACACAUAACCCGAUAAACGGUUAACCUCAAUCUCAUAACCAAAACAAAUAUAAUUGUGAAUUUUUUUAUUAGAUUAUGAAUUUAUUAAAAAUUAAGAUACAAUUGUGUUAUGCAUUUUGUAUUUAUAUGGAUAAAAAAGUGUAUUUAGAUACAAAUAUUAUUAGCUAAAAAAAAUUUUCAUCUGAGUGAAAGAAUAUAUUUUUGUUAAUAUAAAAAAAACAUUUUUAUUCAUUUGAAUUCAUAACAAUAAGAUAUUAUUGGUAAUGUUUUUCUAGUCAAAUUUUUAUUUUUGUUUGUUUCUUAAAAGUGAUAUAUAAAUUCAUUCACCUUUGAUUUUUUUAAUUUUUGUGAUAAUUUUUAUUUAGAAACUAUAAACACCAAAUUAAUUCAAAAUAGUACAAAAUUGUUUGAUUUGAUUUUAGACUGCAUAAUUAGUUUCUAAUGAAGUAAAUUUCAUCACACAGUAUUUUUUUUUGUUCGCAAACGUACCAAACCUCACCAUAAACCACUAGUACAAAAAUCAUAUUUUAUGACGUACAAAAAUAAGUUAUGAUCUACAUAGUUUUAUAAAUAAAUUAUAACAAAAUAACAAUUUAUAUAUUUAUAAGUUAAAUGUAAAAAAGAUAAUCACUAGUAUAAAAAUCAUAUUUUUGAUAUUUUUUAUAUAAAAAAGGAAAGGUUUUUAGCACAAGACCUAUGCGAAUGGUCGCACGUGUGCUUUAAACCUUUAAAACGUAUUUUUAUUGUAACGUAUAAAACUAUAUACGUCAUAAUUUGUUUUUGUACGUCAUAAAAUAUGAUUUUUGUACUAAUGAACACCUUUUAUCUAUAAUAACUAAAGUUGAGUAUGGUGGGUUUAAAUUUUAUGGCUUACACCAACCUCGGAAAAUUCAUGACAAUUAUUUAUAUUUUUACAUCUAAUUCAACUUAUCUACUUUUUUACCCAUUAUACAUGGAAUUUUAUGAAUGAUGAUCAUCCAAACAAAUUCAUUUAUGAAAUGAUUGGAAAAUUUAUAAACACUUAUUUAAAUCUAGAUUUCACUUAAAAUUUUAAAAACAUAAUUAACAUCUAUAAAUCUUUAAUAUAAUUACACUCACUAAUAAGAAGUAAUGGACAAGCAGAUAAAGAAAAUUACAUAGAAGAGUGUAUUAUUAUAUUACGAAGAUAAUUGCUUUCUUCACACCAUAGUUUCUUUCUGCACCACUGUGGGUGUUAAAAAUAUUUAAAAUUUCAACAGAUCUUCUACCUUGAAAGAUUUAUAAACAUGUUUGUAAUUGCAUUAUCUAAAAUAUAUUUUAAAUUCAGAUAUGUAUGGUAAAUUAUACAAUUUAUAAAUUUUUUCAAUUUUUGUUUAAAUAUAUUUUAGGUUGUAUCAUUUAAAACAAAUUUCUUUAUUAUUAUUCAAAAUAUGUUUCUAAAUACUACAUCGUUUUAAUGCUAUGAAAGAAAGUAACACAUCUUUAAUAAUAAAAAAUACUUAGCUAAUAAGAACAUAUAAAAUAUGAUUAUAGAUAUUUAAAAGUAUAAUCAUAAUUCAAAAUUUUAUAUACAAAAUAUUCUAUAUUAUUAAUAAUAUUUACACAUUAACUAGAAGUUCGGCAAAAACAUUAAUAAUAAAUUCAAAUACUUUAUCUAAACAUCAAUUCCUUAAGCACCAGUGCAAUACUUUCCUAUAAUCAUAUCAAUUAGGUGAUCAUUUUCAAAGAAAAAAAAUCAACAAACAAACAAGCCAAAUCAACAGGGUAAACUAUUUUAAAAGAAUCAAACACACCUUCAUUCAAAUUAUAAACAUAAUAAUUCCAAUAUCAAGUCCAUAAAAAACCAAGUACAAAUUUAUAUACAUAUAUAUACACUUUAGACUUGACCAGCCGAAUACAUGUAUUAGUGUCGAACUAUUGGGGACUUAAAACAACGUACUACCCAAACUACCACACAAGAUUAGUUCAUCGAACACCUAUGGUCAAACUGACCUGAGGCUAAGGACCUUAUGUUACUCCUCCCAACAUAACCACCCUUCUCUACUUGAGGUUGGAUAGCUAUUGGAGUAAAAAAAUUCCCCCAUUUCAAAUCUCCUAUAGCCAUACAUAACACAAGCACAACACAAGGAUAUUCCUCGUGAAAUCCCAUUCACCACAUAUUUAAAUCGAAUACACUUUCAUAAUUUCCAUUCACAACGGCUUGAUAACUCUAUCACAAAAAUCUAUAGUUUUUUAAACAUACAUACAUUAAAAGUGUAUCUAAACCCUUUACAACAAACUUAAGUGCCAAAACAAACAUUGGAAAACCAUAGAAGCAAGAAAAUAUCAAAACAUGUAGAGUUUGAAAAAAUAGACUGACGCUUAACGACACACUCUUGCAAGUGAGCGCCAUUCUUCGCACAAAAUUGGCACUUGAGCGCCACCUUGGUGUAACUGAGCGCCAAAGCUCUCGGCUUUUAGCGCUUGAGCACCACUUGAUGCCGCUGAACGCCACACCAGAAGUUUAGAAACUUUAGAAUUUGAUCUAGAUGCACCCAAGACCCAUUAAAACUAUCUAACUUGUAUAUUUGAUACUAAAAUUGAUUUAAAAAAAUGUUUGUCCUUCAAAUUUGAUACCAAUUGACUCUUUUGGUUAAUGACUUAGUUCAUUAUAUCCAAAAACACAUACUUUAGAUGUGACAUGAUACCAACUAGAUUGUAGUGAACUAAUUAGCUAAACAAGUCUUAAAUGUCCUAAGAAAUAUAUAUAUAUAUAUAUAUAUAUAUAUAUAUAUAUAUAUAUAUAUAUAUAUAUAUAUAUAUAUAUAUAUAUAUAUAUAUAUAUUAACAUAUAAAAUACAUUUCAAAUUUUAGUUUUUUUUUAUUUAAUGACCUAUUACUAUGAAUUAUUAGAUUUUUAAGUGGUGUAAAAUUAAUAUUAAAUGUAAAAAAAUUAUAACGAAAAACUGAAAACCAUUACACAUAAUAUCAUAUUCAUAUAUUUGAGUACUAAUUACUAACGCAGUUUACAAAAAAAUAACUUAACAAAUUCUAAUUAAAUUUUAAUGAUAAUUAAAAUUUUAAUUAUGAAGUAAGCAGUCAAAAAUUAAUUUAAUUUAACUUUAUUUUUGAAAAAAAUUUAUUCUUUUUUCAAUCCAUUAAAUUUCUCUGAUUUCCUCGUUAAUAUAACAUUUUCUCAUAACUUCCUCUUUUCUUUAGAAUUUUUUUUUCAUAAUGUCACUUCAAUAUAACAAAAAUAACUUAAUAAAUAUAAUACUUUUUAUUCAAAUUAUUUUACGUUAUUGCAAAAAUAUUUAAUUCCACCCACAAAUUUAUUGUUUUAAAACAUUUUAAAAUUUACUUUAUUCAUUUUUUUCUUUAUUUUAUGACUUGUUACAAAAUAUAAUAAAAUAUUACAUUAAUUUUUAUCAUUUAAAAUUAAUAUGACACUAAAAUAAUUUAUAAAAAAAAAGAAACAUCAACACAUAAUUUAUUAAUAAAACACACUAUAUGAACUACAUUUCAAAUCUCAUUUUCAUGUUCUAAAUAAUUUCAUCCAUAAUUUCAAAUAAUUACUUUCUCUCUACUUAAUUUGAGUUCCUAAUACAUAUCAUCCUCUACACAAUUUUCUCUUUUUUAUUUUCUUUUUACACACACAGUAUAACCAAAACAAAGAUAAUAGCAUGUUCUAAGAUUGUAAAUGGAUAGAGUAUUAUAUAGUAUGUAAAAAAAAAUCGAUAGAGUAUCAUAUAAAAGGUAAAAAAAAAUGGACAGAGUUUGAAGAAAUUAAAACAUAAUUAAAACCAUUGCAUUUUUAUAAUUAAACCAUUACAUUUUAUGAUGGGUAUUUGGAUUUUAACGUGGACUAUUGGAUGAACCUUCUUCUUAUACCACCAUAUGUUUCUUCCUUCAUCACCACGUUUUAUAAAUAUCUUUUAGUUAAAAUUAAACUAUCUUGAUGGCUGCAAUGGAAAUAGAAGAUUUAUUGGAUCUUCAACGGAUGUCCAUAUCCGUCGACAAAUAUCGGUAUUCAUUGAAGGCCAAAUGAAUCUUUCAUUUUUGUUGAGACUUUUAAUAAUUUUUUUUAACAAAACAAUUUUUUAAAAUAAAUUAAAUCAAUUACAAAUAAAUAUAUUCUAAAUAUAAUAUUAGUUAAUAAAUCUAAAAGAAAUAAUUAAUAAACGAAAAAAAAAAUCAAUAGAGAAAACCAACGAAAAUGAAGGAUUCGUUAGGUCUUUAACGGAUACCCAUAUCCAUCGACGGAUCUUGAUAUUUGUUGAAAACCUAAUAGAUCCUCCAUUUCUAUUGAAGCCUCCAACGCUUUCUUUCUUUUGCACACAACACAUACAACAUACAUAGUAAAACAUAUAUCGAUUUUGAAGUGUUAAGGAGAUCAAAAGAAACACCAACAAAAGCACAUUCUCUUUGUAAACGAUCCAAACUACCUCAAUGAAAUGGGAAACAAGAGAAAUAGAGUACCGAAAAGAAAUAAAGAAAGGGAAAUGGAGAAAGGGAGGAAGAGGAGGAAAGAAGGAAGAGAGAAAGAGAUAAUUAAGAAAAUGAAAUGUAGGAGUGUGGGUAUAGUGGGACCGUGGAGUGAAAAGAGGAAAAUAUUAGGAUUUGAAAAAAUAAUUAAAAAUAAAAUAAAAACAAAUAUUUAUCUAAGGUUACUUUUGGAAUUAAGAAAAAUUGAAGUGGUGUAGGAAGAAAGGUGCAUUAGUGCAGGAAGAAGCAGUCCUAUUGGAUUCCACUAAUGAAAUAAAAAAGCCCAAGAGAAACUGGGUUCAGUACAUCUUAUUCCUACAAUUGUGAACUAACAACCUUGAUGAAGAUCAACGGUUAUGAUUCGGAUGCAUAUCAGAAGUGUGAUUUAUGUUAUACAUUGCGAUCCGUGUACUUUUAUCCAACCGUUACAAUUAACUUACUUGUGAAUUCGACUGCAGAGAAUCUGGGUUGGGCGGACACUGCUGGGAAUCAAAUUCAAUACUCUUUUUCUUUCAUUCUCUAAUAUUUUGUCGCUAACACCUCUGUUCCCAUUUCAAUUGAAAACCCUUGACAUUGUAAUUGUACUUUAGGUUACCCUUUUAUCUGUAUUUCAUAAAGUAAAACCCUUUCAUCCUUUUCUUAUUAUCAGUAUUGUUAUUUUCAGGUCGAGUUUGCCCAAAAUGCCGGACGUUCAGACCCUUGUCAAUGAUUUUGUGAACAAGCUUAAGAAACGGUAAUCGCUUACUCCCCUGAUACUUUUUGAGUUCAAUGAAUGGAGCAUUAGGAACCAUCAUCUGACUUUUGAUGUUCAUGAGCUGUUUUUGUGAUUUUCUGUGUGCGAGUUUGAUUUAUUAUUUAUAUAUUGUUUAUUUGUGAUUUCUUAUUUAUUUAUUUUGCUGAGUGAUGCUAGUAAAAUUGAAGGUUCACAGGCCACAGCAAAGCUCACAGCAGAGUUGCUCCGGUCUGUGAUAUCACAGCAGCGGGUGCCACACACAAACCAGGCCACAGCUCUGAUUCAUGCAGUAAGGGCUAUUGGGGAGCAGCUUAUUGCUGCCAAUCCUGUUGGUAUGUUAAGAUUAUUGUUUUUUAUAAUGUAUUUAUAACUAUAAAUAUGCAUGUUAGAGAUGUAAUAUAUACAAGUGAGAACAACCUUAUUACAUAAACCAGCCUUUUAGUUAAUCCGAAUACUAAGGUUGGAUUGAAACCUAUCCUAAAUGGUUGUUGUUUGACCGACCGAUAUUAGGCCGCUCGCAGAUGUCCGAUUCUGCAAAAUUGACAUUUGAUAUAUGUCUAGUCAUUGGUGUGAGAGGAGUGUUUGGAGAUCCUACAUUCACCAGUCAUAUGGAUAAGUAGUGUAAGUGGGAGGUCACACUCAUUCCAUAAACUAGUUUUUGAGAUUGAGUCGGAUCCUAACCCAAAUUCUAAGGAUGCACUUUGUAUUGAUGGUUGAUACUCAUUAGGUGCGUGACUAGGCCCAAUAGAAGAUCAAGGAAGCAAAACCACCUGAAGGAUUUGGAAUGACGGUGCAUGACUCAUUAGGUGUCAGUAGAGAAGUUUGUCACAGCUGUCAAUUACCUUUUAUCCCAUUUUGCAUGUUGCAGAUACCUUUUCCUGUUGCUACCAUGGUGGAGAGCCAACGACUGGGUAUUGUAAUUAGUUUAAAUACCACCAUCAUGAAUGGAAGGUGGCGACAAAUCAAAUUUGUUUUUUAUUUAGUCAAAGGAGGUCCUUGUCCUCAAAUUCAAGGAAAUAUAUUUGUGCCCCUAUCAGUCACAUGUAGAAGUCUAUUGUGAUUUGGCAAAUAUUAAGAUUCAUUUAUUGUUUGCCUUUCAUGACACGUACUGUAUGUGAUUGCAGAGCUAGCUGUGGGAAAUAUUGUGAGGCGUGUUCUGCACAUUAUAAGGGAAGAGGAUCUUUCCCUUGCAACAGCUGCUAUGGCUGGUUUGGGGGUAUCAGUUGCAAGUGACGAUGAAGAUGAUGAGGAGCGAGAUGAAAAUCCUGUUUUAUCUGCUGCUGCUGUAGCAGCUGCUGCUAGAAGUACAUUACGUCCACCGUCAUUACAAACUCUUCUAGAGGAUACGUCUGAUUCAGCUGCCGCUCCGCACACAUCUUCCUCUGGGGGUGAAUCUGACGGGAGAAGUAGAUGUGAGGAUGACACUUGACUAUUGAGAUUUUUAUAACUUUUGUAAUAUUUUCAAGAUAUUUUUCUUUUGCUUCUUAAUAAAAAAAGGGUUUUGGUUAUUCAUGGUUAAAUGCAAUAAAGUAGUCAGUUUUGUUUUUAUUUCUUCCUUUUGAAUGCAAAAGUCCAUGCUAGACUAAUGAUUUUGUUAUUUUUUAUGCUUUUGGCUUAUGCGUAAAAUAUUAUCAUUUUCUCAAUUUUCUUAACGAUAUUAGAAUACUUGAUUGAUUUUUUACUGUUUGUUUAUUGUUGAUCGUUGUGAAUAAUUUAUAAUACCGUUUCCUUCUUAUAUGACAUUUUAUGAUGAAAUAUUUGUUUUUGUUUUGGUGUUUAAUUGCAUGUCUUUUUGUUUUCCUUUUCUGCAGCUAUUGAGAAAGGUUCAAGAGUUAGGAAGUUGAAACAUGAUGUCAUUGAAGCAGUUAAUGAACUAAUUCAAGACAUAUCUACUUGCUAUGAACAAAUAGCUGAGCAGGCAGUGGAGCACAUUCACCACAAGUUUGUUUCAUAUGAAAACAAUCUAAAUAUAUAUUAUUUAUGUUUAGAUACUUUAAAGUGCUUGUCUGAAAACAUAUUAUACUUGCUUUACAAAAUCCGAAUUGUUAUGAGACUCCGAAUAACUUGCAUCGAAACUUUUAUAUAUUUACAGACCAUAUUUUGAGCGGAUAAUGCUCCAGUAGUCUUGGUAUUUUAUUCGGGAGCAAUCCCAAGACUUGUUCUGGUGUAAAUGGGUAUUUGUAUAAAGGGUUCCGACAUCCAAGAGUUAUUCUCUUAAUGGAGCAUUGAAAGAUUUUAUUUCCUUAGUCGACUAUUCUUUAUCAAGCCUUAACAGCGAAAAGUACAUUAUAACUAUUUCUAGAUGUUCUGAUGAAUAAUUACAAACUAAGCGGUUAAUUGUUAUUUAUAGCCAUUGUAUUACAGGCAAUGCACAUGUUAAAUGUCCAACUAUAUAGGAAAGUUCCAACUAAUUUUUUAUGUUAUUAUUCAUAUCGUCGAGUUUAUCAAACACUUGUUAAAAUCACCCCUUCUUAAUCUACACUACUGGUCCAUACGUUUUCCUUAUAUAUUUUUAUUUUUUUCUGAUAUUCUUGGUAUCUUAAAAUAACCAAGGCAAUGAUUCUUCUUUUGAUUUUAGCUAUCAUGUCUUGAUAUUAGGAUUUUUUUUUCUUGUUUAGACAGAUUAAAGUCUUGUAUUGUUUUUUCUUAUCUCUUCCACUGAUAUUGGCGUGUUUUUCAGUGAGGUAAUUUUAACGUUAGGCAGCUCAAAAACAGUUUUGGAAUUUCUUUAUGCUGCGAAGGAAAAGCAAAGAUCAUUUAAGGUCUUUGUUGCUGAAGGUGCCCCAAGGUUUGUAGUAGUGGCUAUCCAAUAUUUGCAUGGAAUGAUUGUGAUUUACUAUUAAUAAAUUUGUUUAAAUAUUCCAUAAGACCAUUUAAUGUCUGACUGUGUGUGCAAUCAGAUACCAAGGACAUAUCCUUGCAAAAGAAUUGGCUGCCAGAGGCUUACAGACCACAGUAAUUUCUGAUUCUGCCGUUUUUGCAUUGAUUUCCCGAGUGAACAUGGUAUGUGAAAAUCCUGGCAUAAAGUUUGGAAUCAAUUAAGACUCCUGUACUGAAGUUAAGUUGAUUUGACCGCACCAUUUUAUAGGUUAUAGUUGGAGCUCAUGCUGUCAUGGCUAAUGGUGGAGUUAUUGCCCCAGUUGGGUUAAAUAUGGUUGCACUUGCAGCUCAAAGGCAUGCUGUUCCAUUUGUUGUACUUGCUGGGAGUCACAAGGUGAGUUCUUAACAUGUAAUAUCUUUGUGCCCUCACAUCUGGCAUGUUCUUCGGAAACAAGAAUGCUUAUGACUUCUGAUGUUUCUAUAAUUUACUUCCUUUCCUGUUCUGUUUAACUUGGAAAGAGAUGGCAGGUUAUUGUGAAAUACUUGGGUGAGGCAUAGAAUAUGAAUUAUUUUUUGCACACAUGGACUCGAGAAUUAGUUGUUGAUAGCAAUCAGCACAAAGUAGAAGAGAUAAAAGAAAUUUGUGUAUUAUUGCUCACUCUGUCCAAACAUUAUAGAGGGGAAGAAUCACUCACUAUUCGUGAUACAAUGACCAAAGUCCCAAAUUCCACCUUUUGUCCUCCCUUCAACACGUGCUCACCUCCCCUCUAUAUUCUCCCCUUCUCUCUCUUCAAAACAAAAAAUAUUCCUCACCUGAUCCCACCUUCAGCUCACCUGCCACUCAGCAAUUCUGCUAAGAUCCCAAUCAUUGGGUGUGUGCUGGUGGACCCCACAAAAUAGGUUUCCACUUCCUUUCACACACCUUACUGAACUUCCCACUUUGCCCUUUUUCCUUUAAACUUAUACUUGUAUCAAUUGUUAUGGAUUGGAUGAUACAUACAGCCUAUACAUUUAUAAUUUGGAUUAUCAGAAUAAAAAGAAUACAUAAUCAAUGUAGUAUUUUGAAUUUGUUUCACCGAAGUUUCAAAAUGAAUAGCCAAACAAUUCUUGUGAACCAAAUAUCAGGCAAAAGAAGUAUAAUGAGUUUAAGUAAAAAUUUAUAUGGAUCCAUGACACUAGUUUUAACUUCUGCAUCUUUUUGUUCUUUAACCCAAAAUGGAUGAUAGAAAUAGUUUACGAGCUAUGAACGGUCAAUCCAUAAUGUUCAAAUACAAGUUAGUCCCCGUUUUGGCUAUUUAGACAACUUAUUAUUCAUCAGAAGGGUAUUGAUGAAGAGAUGAAUACAAAAUCUUUGGAUGACUUGGGAUUUGGUAAUGUAUUUGUAUAAAUACAAAAUCUUUGAAAUAUACAUCUAAACUAAAUAGCUUGUAACUUUUUUAGCCAUUAGUUUAAAAUGAUGUUACUGAAUUUUUUAUUCGGAUGAGGUCUAAUUUCUAAUGUAUAAUAUGGACCGUAAUUAUUCCAUAUCUACUAGUUUUGUAGAUGUUCUCUCUUAAAAAAAUUUGCAUUAUCUGAAAAUGAAGGUACUGAGCGCCAAUCAAUUUUAAAGAAGCUCCUUAAUUAUAUUUCUGUUAACUGCACAGUGUAUUUAUCCCUAAUGAGGGAGAUUUGUAAUUCUGAAAAUUUGAAAAUAAUUUGUUUGAUGAUAAUGAAGUAGUUUUCUCCAUUAAUAUUAGUAAUAGUGUACUAUACCCCGAUGCUUUCCAUUAAUUGCUUUUAAGGAAACUUUGAUAAUAUUACUGAUAUUAAGUUCAAGGUCCAAGUUGUGAUAAUAUUACUAAUAAUGUACUAUACCCCCAUGCUUUCCAUUAAUUACUUUUAAGGAAACUUUGAUGCCAUUUAAAAAAUAGUUUAUGAUCUCCCUCACCAUCUCAGUUACCAACACUUUUUGGCAUUUGCUGAAAAUUGCUAUAUUUUGUUGACAGUUGUGUCCUUUGUAUCCACACAAUCCUGAAGUCCUUCUUAAUGAACUGAGAUCCCCGUCUGAGCUACUUGACUUUGGGGAAUUCUCAGAUUGCAUGGAUUCUGCAAGCGGUGCUGGUUCUCUUCAUGUUGUCAAUCCAACCUUUGAUUAUGUGCCGCCAAAAUUUGUUAGUCUAUUUAUUACUGACACGUAAGUUAGACUCAAAUUGAUUGCAAAAACUUCCUUUUCUUUGUCAUUGACCACAGAAAAUUAGUGUCCUAAUCGGUUUCCUUUUCUGCAUUCACCUGACUGGAAAUUACUUCUCAGGGGAGGGCACAACCCGUCAUAUAUGUACCGGCUCAUAGCUGAUUACUAUUCAGCCGAUGAUUUGGUGGUGAAACGAAGACCUAUUACAGGGAGUUGAGUUCAGCUACCCCAAAUUUUGUCCUAUAAGUGUAAGUAAGCAAUGAAAUAUUUAUGUAUGUACUUCUGUUUAUUAUUGUUUGUGUCUCUGUCACUGCUGUAUUUGGUUGAGAUUUCUUGUGAAACAGCUGUGUAAUUUCUGAAACAAAAUUUAUUUAUUAUGUAUAGAAGUUGAAUUUAGAUUUUCUACCGAGUUUAUAAUAUUAUUCUUGUGUUUUCAAAAUAUACUUAUUUGGUAUUUUAAAAUAUAUUAAAAUCAGUGUAUUUUGAAGACACAAUAGAAGAACAAUACAAAAAACCCAGUAGAGGAUUUAGACUCGUAGAGGUUGGUGUUUGUGCAACAGUCAAUAUUAUGAUAGACUAAUAUACUAUCAGGCUUAUAGAGACGGGAAACAUUAAUUGUUAUCUUUAGUUUAUUUUUAUUAAAUAUAUAAAUACCUGUAUAAUGAACAUUAUGAAAUUAUAAAAGAUUUUUGAAGCAACACUUGUAAUAGUUUUUUAUGUUUUAAAGGAAACUUCUAUUCAAUGACAUUUGGGUGGUCCAUUUUCAGGUUGUAGGUGCUGUGUGUGAUGAACCAUGAGUUAGAGACCAUGCUCACAUUUGUGCAGUUGAAAAUGAACCUAGCUCAAUUCUGAGAAUUGAGUUGGAAAAAUUGUACGCCAUUGAAAUGAUAUGGAAAAUACCUAGUGAAAUUAAGCUUUUGUGGUUGUUGACUUCGUCAAUAAAAAAAAAAAAAACUUGUUUUAGUUUCCAGUAUAACAAUAGCCCCCCAUUUUUAUCUUGUACAUUUUGUUUCCUCCCAAAGAAAUGAUAAUUGUAGUUUUGGCCUCAUAUAUUCAACAUUUACUUUGUUAUUUGAAAAUAUGGUUAUGAUGGUGACAUCUAUUUGUUAUUUGAACAAUUCAAAAUCCUAGAUUUUUGAGAAAAUAAAGUUAGUAUGGUUUGUCACGAAACAAAAAAAGCAAUAGUUUUCAUGCCAGAAAAAAAAAUAUUUUAUGUUCAUUGUGAAGUGGAAUAAUCUCUCUUAAUUAUCUUUUGUUUUUCUUAUUGUUAAUUGGUCCUAGAAGAAAUUGUAGAUUCUUCAAUUAAUAGUAAGACUUUUAAUUAACAUUAUCUUUAAGGAAACAGUAAUAAAUUAAGAAUCCUCCCAUCUUAUUACGAAGUAUAUGGAGAAUAACAAACGAUAGUCAUUAUAUUUACGGAGUUUCUGCAGUAGUAUGGAGAUUUAGUUCAAUUCAUAUUUUUUCAUGUGUCAAACAAACGAUACCUUCAGUUUUCAACAUUUUUUCCAAAGAAUUUGAUGUCACUGUCCUCUUUCUGCAAGUACCAAAAUCUGAAAUCUUUAAUAAUUAAUAUUGAAACUCCAAUCUCAUAAUUGAUGGUAAAAAUGUUCAGUUGCAGAAGAUAUGAUGACAAAGACAAAAGCCUGGUAUAUAACAGGUUCGGUUAAGAAUUCUUUUAAGAUUUUCGGCAGACUGAUUGAUUGAAACGAAAAGAAACAAUAAUUUUUUAUACCUUCACUUUCCUUUUAUCUCUCCAAAUUUACAAACCAAAUAAAAUAUUCAUGAUUCUCUCCCCUCCUACAAAACAGUAGGGAGGUCUCCUUUUGUAAUUCCCUUCAUAAAUUGAUCACUAAAAUUAUUUCUCCAAUCACCAAAUACAUCGCAUCGAGAAAAAUAUGCCUUCGUUGGGGUAAAAACAGAUAUUGACAGCAAUAGGGAAACGCGAGAGAGGGCAGAGUUUCUAUAAGAAGAUUUACUGUGCUGGCAGAAAACCAAAUGCAUUUAACUAUACCAAUCAAGAAAGAGGAUUGAAAAAGUAAGCACAAAUAGAAACAGUAAAAGAAAUGUCCUGCUGCUGCUAUUCCGCUGAAUGGCUUGUGAGAGUUCUUUGUUACCGAGCUCAACAUUCUUAGUGGCUUCAAUAGCCUGUAAAAGCCAGCAGAAGCACGAUUAUAUUUCUUAGAAAUUGGAAAUACAACUAUUUUUAGGCAGAAUAAACAAAUUGCAAGCACUGUGGUGCACUACCUGUGAAAAAUAUUAUACCUUAACGAUUGUAAUUAAAACAAAAAAUGUUGACUAUUUAUUGUAAUUACGGAAAUUUUAGUUUUCUUGGGGUUCUUGCCUAUUGGGGGUUAUUUUUGAUAAAUUUGUUUCAAGAUUUUAGUCACAUUAUUAUCGGGACAACAAGUUGGAUUUGCAUACUAUUAAGAUAGCUGAUUACUAAGAUUUGCAGAUUUAACCUUGAAUUUGAGAUCAAUCAAUAUACCAAUCCUAUUUUUAUAUACGUGACCUAUUUCCAUCCCUGUUCUACACUAAUUCCAGUUUCACAUUACUUGGCUAACUUGGAAGGUGGGUUAAUGACGGGGAGUGGGCAGUAUAGACAUGAUAGAUGGCAGCCUUCAUGUGUUCCCAAAAAACCAGAAAACAGGGGGGAAGAGUAUGAUAUGUUAUCUAACCUGCUCAUAAAGAUGCUCAAUUUGCUGAGCUUGCUGCAAAACAUGAGUAGACAUGAGGUGAUUUAGUGCAGACAUUUCCACCAUCUUAGUUUCGGUUUCUUGAACUGUAUCGAGAAGAUUAGUCAAUUCCACCUACAGGAAAAGAAACAAUGGCAAAGGGUUAGUCACGAGAAUCUAAAAAUCUUCGAUUAAACAAACGACAGAAUAAGACCUACAGAAAUUUAUAAAGAAUUUGAUUUUUACACCUGCAGGGCACGUGUUUCAUCGUCCAAGAGUUGUUGCUGGACUCGUAGAGGCUCAGCACGUAACUCUUCGGGUUCUCUGAGCUCCAUGCCAUCUGGUUUUGAGGUUUCUGCAGAAUCUUUUCUGGUUACACGGUUAAGUUUUCUCCGUGGAAUUGCUUUAUUAAUAGCGUCCUGGAAGCGUACAGCUCUUAGCUGAUCAAACUGUGCAGUGACUGUAUGGAGUCUCUCACUUAAAAUUAGAACCUAAAAUUGGUCCCAAGUAAACGUUAGCAUACAAAAACGUAAAUAGCCAUCUCAAUUCAUGAACUUGUUAGUAUUCAGAUAACAUUAUCAAGCAUACAUUCUGGCAUAAGGGAUCAUCAUACAACUGCUCAACCCACAUACGUAACUAAUAACUGAAAAAUCAACAAGCACAAGAUGUCCUCACCACCCCAUGUUUGUGGGCAAUCACAUCGGCAUUAGAUUUUGUAGUCGCAAUGCCAAGCCAACCUUUGGAAGUUUCCUCUUCUUGAUUUAUACUAUUCUUAAGAAUAUCAAUUUGUUCCUGGCAUGUUUUAAUAAAAGUACUAACCUGCACCAAAUUAAUUACAAUAUUAUAGUAAGUGAUAAGCAAAACUGAUGCUAUACGAUUAAGAGAUAUCAUUCUUUUUGACUCAAAAACACAGAAAAGGCUAAUAAAAAUUAUAUACGCAGGUAAAGACCAAAUUGCUUGGCAGGCUUAAAAUAAGUUAUAUCUAUAUAUUGUUGUGAGCUGUGAACUUUGAAAGAAUGGUGUGAACAACAUAUACAAAAAAACACAGCCUUUGAAAAUUCGACUGUGCACUGAUGUGUGAGAACUCCUUCGGAAGGAAAUAAAAAUGAGAGAACCAAUGUGAUUUAAUAAUGAUAGUGCUAGCAAUGAAAAAUAAAAUUAAUACCAGCCUAAGAGGGGACCAUAAACGAAUAACACGUUAGUCCCAAACAUAUAUAUCCUAAUCUCUUCUAUCACUCGCUUCUUCAUCAGUUUCUUGCUAUUGGUAAUUUCUCUUUCUAUUGGCUGUUUCUUCCCCUAGACAACAUGUAUAAAGGAACAGACUUCACGGACCAAACCGCAAGGCUGCCAAGUAAACUAACUCAUGUCUUAUCAUGUACAGCACAGUGCUGAGAAAGCUCUAAAUCAUCAAUGCCAGCCAACAACAAGAAUGAAAUCAAGCCUAAGGAGAAACACCACACUAUUGCCAAUAAGUACUAUUUUCAAAUCAUCAAACAUGACACCAGAAUACUCUUAAACCAGAAUCCCAGCUUACUUCAUGCUCGAUGCUAUCUCUUUCCUUUUCUGUGGUGCGAUGCAGAUCCGUAUAGUCCUUUCUAUGCUUCAACAAAAACUGAUCCAGCUCUCCAAUACUCUCCAGCUAAAAACAAAGACCAAGAAAAAAAGUCACAUCAUAUAAAAUUAGCACAGCACAUAGCUACAACCAUGAAUAAAUUAAUCAUAGCUCACUGAAAAGAACAAUUUGAAAGCCGAGUUUACCGUCUUCAAUGCGGCUUUGGAAAAUGGAGACCUUUGCGGCGGUUUAUGAAUGAUGAAAGAUGCCAUAAUUGACGCUACUUUAGCCUGCCAAACGAAUUCCAUCACAGUGAGAUUAGAAACCAUUCAACGCUCAAACCAAUAACCAAUUAGAACCAACACGUGUUCAUAAACCCUAUUUAGCCAAACCCAAUGUGGCAUUUUCACACACUAGAAAAACUAGCGAUUUGAAUAAUGAAGAUCGCAAAAUUGUGAAUGGCGAACCUCGUCGUAGCCCAAAGAGUGAGCGGUGCGGCGCACGGUAUCUUUGAAAUCCUCGGUUCUGUCCCUCGCUUUUCCCAUCUCUCAAUUGCGAUCGAUCAAUGGGAAUUCAGAAAGAAGCAAAGGAACCGAGAUAUCGUGCGACGCGAUAUGAUGAUAGGAUACGAUACGAUUCAACGAGUUUCAAUUUCAAAUUCGGAAGGAUUGCAUGGUGUAGUUGUGCUUGAAAGAGUGAAAUACAAGUAAAUGGGUCGGAGAAGGACGCUGAAGGAAGCUCUGCGAAACCUAAACAAAGGGAGGAAGAAGAAAAGAAGACGAAGACGAAGACGAUGCUUUGAUGAGACCUAAACGAAGCGUUUCACUCCAUAGGAAAUUUUUUUCCUUUUCUUUUCAAUAUUUUUAUUCAAUAUAUUAUUUUUUUGAAGAUAUAGUCAAUUUGACUAGCUUGUUUAAACUUAAAAUAAAUAUUUUUAAAACUGAUUUUUUUUCAAAAAUAAUUUAUUUGAAAAAUAAAUAGAAUUUUUAAUUAAAUAAGAUUAUUUGUCUUUAACAAAUAUAAAUUUUUAUUUGUCUUUAAUACAAAUUCAUUAAAUAUUUGAGAGUUCAUAUUUUUUUAGGACAUGACCUUAUUCAUUCUUAUGAUGUUUUAGUGACAUCAAUUAUAAAAUGAAGAAAUUAAUAACACUAUCUGAGUAACUUUUAUUAUCUCUUAUUGUUUAAAAAUCAGAUCAAUGGAAUGAAUCUGAGCUCAUAAUAAAAAGUGUAUCAGACUAUACAAUUUCUAACUAUUUCUUAAAUUUUAGACAUUUAAUAUGAACAUUACCUUAUAAUAGUAGUAGUUAAACCGAAUUAAAGUGGGAAGAAAUCCCAAAUUAGUUGAUGUUGUUAUCUUGAACCAAAAAAUAAUUAUUACUUUUAAAUCAUUUUCAGUAAACUAAUUAAUAUUUUAUUAUUGUUAUUUUUAGUUUAUGUAAAAAAAUUACUUUCUAGGAAAUCUAUGAUGAUAAACUAUAAACUAUAAUAAAUAUAAAAUGAUGUAGCAGAAAUUAAGUUUCAUAUUACCUUCCCAUUAAGUAAAAUUGAACAAAAAAAAAUUCUUAUUUGGUAAAUUUAAGAUUAACUAAAUUUAAAUGAGCACUUCCUUACACCUCUCAAUUCCCAUUCUACACUCUUAUAAUUACAGCAUAGCUUAUAUCGAUUUUGUGAAAAUUAAUAAUAAUUAAUAAUGUAUUAAUAAUUGCUUCCUUUUUCACCAACUAAUUUAAUGAAUUCCCUAUACAUACAUGCACUCCCUCAUUUUUAAAACAUACUCUUUUUGCUACAUUUUUGUCUUUAUUUGUGUUCAUUCUAGUAAUGUUUCCUAUAUUUGUUGGUGGUUCCGUUGUACUAUUGGUGGUGGUGCUAUGUCUCGGUAUGUGGUGUUGUCUCCCCAUAUGUUGUGUUUGUUACGGAGCGUAGAAGACUUCAUUCAAGGUGGGUUUUAAGUUAAAAACUCUUAACCGAACUUUAAAGUUUGAUUAAGGCCUUGCUGCGUUCAAACGCCGAUUGAGGCCUUGUUGUGUUUCAAAAUGCGACGAGGCCUUAAUUGAUUUUUGAACACCAAAUCAUACUUCGAAGUUUGAUUAAGGUCUCUAAACCUCCAUUCACGCCAAUCAAACCAGAAAUUCGCACAAAUCCAGACAGAUGACAUGCAUACCUUUUACAUAUAUGAUUCAAUCAUACAAUUCAAUCCAAUUUCUACUUCAAUCCAUAUAUACAAGCAGAAAAAUUUAAUGCAAACGACAAUACAUGCAACAACAUUCAAUGAAAACGAGUAGAGAAAGAAAAAUCAACUUUUAGUAUAGAAGUCAAAGAUGCGAAAAUAAGAUCCAAACACCACCACACCAUCACGUAAUUGGUGAAGGACGAGAAAUAACAACAUUACGACAAACAAUAAGCAACCAAAGAUGAGCGCAACAUAGAAAUGAUGGUGAGGGAAGGCUUCAAAAUGCAGUGAGAGAGAGUAACAAUAGAAGUGUGAGAUCAAUAUCAAUAAGAGGAAGUUGUUUAGAGACGUAAAAUUUUGGUUUGAAAUUUUGAAACAUAAUCUUAGUCAAAAAUUCGUAUUCAUAUAAUGUGUAUAUAAUGUUCAGAUUUUGAAAAAGUUAUUAUGGAUAUUUCGGAAAUGCAGAUGAUAAUUGUAAGGUGUAGGAGGAAGAAGAGUUCAAUUGGAACUCCAUAAACUUUAUUUAAUACAAUUGUUGUAAAAGUAUUGUAAAAUAUAAAUAAAAAUAUUAAAUAAAUUUGACCAUCCUUCUUAAUCAAUAUAAAAAUGAUUAAUUUUAGCACCUUGAAAUUACACCAAACACUACAAAUCCUAAUUAAUAGAAAACAUAGAGAUGAUAAAAUAUUUAAUGUUUUUAGACCAAAUUUUAAUAUCAAUUAAAUUAAAGUUUAAUAAACGGAUUUCAGUUACAGUUCUGCAAAUGUAACCUUCCUUUUUGCAAAUCUUAAAGCUGAGUCGUCAACAAAAGAAAAACUAGAAAAACAGAGAAAAACCAGAAAGAGAAAAGAAGAAAGAAGGAAUUUGUAUUGACUGGACCCACCAAUUUGUUUUCCUUUUUCUCAGUUUCUAUGAUUUCAUCUAAAAGGUUAGAAAAUAAAUACAUGCUUUGUUUUCUAUUCACUAACGUUACAAAGUAGCUAGCUCAAGUUUCAAUCUUCAAACAAAACAAAAUUAAUUAACACUCACAGUUUUUAAUAAAAUAUUAAUGACUUCUUAAUUUGUUUCAAAAUGAAUUACAUUGAUGCUUAUAUUUACAUUAAUAAAUUAUGUUAAACUUAAAAAAAAAAACUAAUUUUAAUUUUGAUUAAUGUAUAAAAACAUAUUUAAAUGUUUUUACAUAAUUUUGUUAUAUGUUUGAAUCAUUUGAAAAGAUGUAAGUUGAAGUGAAUGGUGAAAAGGCGAAGAGAGAGUGUUGGGUGAGAGAAAGAGAAACAAGUUUUUUGAGCAUCAUUGUCGAGUCAAAUUCAAGAUCAGUUACUUUCCAGCAUGUCAUCAGAAGCUGCUUCUCUGGUUUCCUUGUAGUAUCACAACAAACAAAAUUCACAACUUCCAAACAAAAAUAUAAUAUAGACUCAUUGGUAUGUUACUUUUUGGUUACCUUAGACUUUCAAACGCUGCUUAUUUAUUACAACUUUUGUUUCUACGUCCCCUUCAUUUCCCCUCCACACUCUAUAGUAAAUGCUUUUCUGCACAAAUGAAUCUCAUUGAAGCAGUUUCUCUGUGCUGUGUGCUUCCUUCAGUUUUUGCCUUUGCAUGCAACUCUGCUCACUCCACCAGUGCUAACUUUUUUACCUGAGAUUAAAAGAUCAAAAGGGUAUGUGACUUCACCUUGGUAUCUGUAAUUUGGUGUCUGACAGGUUUUACGUUUUUUUUUUCGUAUCAUUUUUCACUCAGAAAUGUUCAUUCUUUACCCCUUUAAUGCAGGACUUACGUUUUUGUGUUUCAAGGCUCUUAUAGUUGAUACAAGUAAGGGUUAUUCAUAGUUUUUGUGCGACUUUUGGCUUCUGUACUACAAAUUUUUGGUCAUUCUGUUGUUUUAUGUUUUAUUUACUUUUUGUAUUUUGCUUCUUUUUGGUUCUGGUUUAGAAUACUGCUAAUAGUGAUUUUACUAUACUUGAAUAGUAUUAUCUUUGGUGAAGUUUUGGUGAAGGAUAUUUGUUAAAAAAUAUCAGGCAUUCCAAUCAAAGUCGGCAAAAAGGAAUGGAAUGUAAGAGAGGAAAAGAGAAGGUUCUAGCCAAAGAAAAAAACGUAAAAACGGCAAGGAAAAUUAGAAUUGUGUACACUGACCCUGAUGCUACAGAUUACUCAAGUGAAGAAGAAGAAGAAGAAGGAGAAGAUGAUGAUAAGUUGUUGAGAAAUGGCUAUGAGUUAAGUGGUUGCUCCAAGCGGGUUGUGAAGGAAAUCUUGCUUCCAUGCAUGCAAAACAAGUUACAAGAAGAGAAUUCAUCACAAGAUGUAAACAGUGAAAAGAUGAAAGGAAGUCCAAUCGAAUUUUCAAGUAGGAGGAUGAGGAAACCAUCAAGCAUGUACAAAGGUGUUCAACGUAGGAAAUGGGGGAAGUAUGUGGCAGAAAUCAGAGACCCUAUUCAAGGGGUGAGAGUGUGGCUUGGUACAUUUGAUACUGAACAGGAGGCUGCUAUGGCUUAUGAGAGAAAGAAGAAUGAGUUUGAAAGGUCGAGAAAAAGGGAUGCAGUGGCUUUUGACAGUUCCAAAGAAGUGUUGUUUCAUGCAUCUCCAUCGUCAGUUCUUGAUGUCUGCACUACAAAAGCUUCACUAGAUGUUAGUGACCUGAAUGAUUCAGUCAAAGAAAAGUUCAAUGUGGAAAAGGUUGGUGAAGGAGGAGGCAAUGAUGUGGAAGCAGUUAACAGUGAAGAUAAUUCAACACAGCUUUUGCUGGAGGAGCCAGUUAUGCCAUCAUUGUUUGGUUAUGAUGGUUUCUGUUUGGAUGAAGCAGAGAAAAGGGGAAUUCUGCUUGAUGAAGAGUGUUAUAAUUUCUUGGACAAUGACAUCAAAGGUGGUUUUAUGUGGAAUGUGGAACAUGGGGAUACCACUGUUCUUCCUCCUGUGGACAGUGCUUUUGAUGAGUUAGCUUGGAUUGAUGAAACUCUAGAUUGGGAAAGCUCAUAAAAUUUUUUAGUCACUUGUUUGGACUGGUUUUUGCAUUAGUUUAUCUGAAACAAAAUUUUUUUCAUAAGUCAAAGUUAUUAUGUAUAACUUACAAUUAAAAGUUUAGAUAGAUGAACUUCUAUAAAUUACUUUAUUCAUAAGUUGAUUUUGAUUUAAGAAAAAACUAUGGUUUUUACUUUUCUUUUAUAGAAGUUUAUGCAGAAACUCGUUUAAUAUUUUCUUCAGUGUGUCCUAAUAUCUUUGAUUAUUUCCUUCUUGCUUAUUAUAUCCACUUUGAAAAGACAUUUCUCCCGAGUGUGUACUUUAUUUGGUUUUGGCUACUGUUAUAGCAUGGAAAAUCAAAACAAAAAGAGAAUGCCAAAGUAAAGUUAAAAGCAAAAGCAUCACAAUCACAAAGAAUAAAUGUUCCCCGCAUGAAAAUAUUUAGCUACUAUUUUCCCCUAAAACAUGAGCAUAAAAAACUAAUCAAUCACGGAUCAUUUGAAAAUAUCCUUGUUUAUUCCUGUUCUGCUCGGGGUGUCUGACAACGAGAAUGAACAGGUUUGGAUGAACUUAUUCUAAGCUUUUUUUAAAGGAGAAAAAAAAAACCCAACUUCCAAAAUAUUAGAAAAAAUAUAUAAAAUUUUCAAUUAUGUAUAAACUAAUUUGUUUUUUUUAGAAAAAACUUUUGGAAUAGUUCAUCCAAAAAGACCCAAUCUACAGAAAGACGCCGAUUCUCAUAAAAUUUCGUGCAAUAGAUAAAAAUUCAUUUCAUAUUUUCUUCAACGAGUUUAAGUUUAAUAACUCAACGGAAAAACAAGUACAACCUAAAUUUGUGUUAACAAAGAGGAGAGAAAACAACCAUGAUGUGACUAAACUUUCAAGUACAAUGGGUAAUUAUUUGAAGAAUUGGAGGGGAAACGAGGGACGUAAAAGCCAAUUACUCAUAAAUUGAUAAAUAUUUCACUAUUACAUUUGGAGAAUUGGAGUUUCAAUUUUGAAGAUGCUGCAUAAAACUCUCCCAAAGAGUAGUGAAAAUAGCAGCAAAUUUGUCUUUGAAUAUCAAAAUAUUUUAGGACUAACUGCUCUCUGAACAUCGUAACACAGCAAGUUCUUGACGAAUUUUAAAGCACUUUCAAGUUCCACGCAACAUCAGAGCUAGAAAGGAGGAAUUUGCAGAUCAAUUGCAAGACGAUGCUUAUCAAGUGAAAUUCACAGCAAGAUCUCAUGAUGCUCCUUCACGGCUAAAGGAAUCAGAAUAGUACGAAAUCUUGAAAGGGAAAGAGGACAUAAUGGUAACCAUUGAAUGAGAAUUACCACGGUGACAAUGCUUUGACUCUCAAUCUCCAUAUUUGUUAAUCAGCUUAAGGUUCAGACCUCAGACAUUGUUGUUGUUUGCUAAAAGCCAACUCACAUACAACAGCAAGGUGAUCACUUCCCCAUUUCUACAAGGCAUAAGAAUCAUAAAAAUCCAAAAUGGAACAAGAUACAUCAGCGCAUUACAGUAUAUGGUUUCAAAGAACUAACUUUAAGUAGAUUACCUCACUGGGGAGUCCUCCAGAUCUUCUAAGAAUAUCAAUUGGCAAGGUUUCAAGAACUCUAAGUGGAACAAGAUCAUCGGAAUGCCUGAUUACAAAUGACAUCGGUCAUAACUAACAAACAUACAAUCUGUAAAUGCAUAUAACUUUUGGCGUUUGUUAAACAAUAUAAUUACCAGAUAUAAUCAACAGUUCCCAUGAACUUGGAGUGGUAUGAUGUUGCCAAGGGCUCCCCAAUAUCAUCUCUUGUUCUAUGGUCUCCCUGCAGCCAUGAGAUUUAUGAAGAUGAAGUGGGAAAUAUCAAGACUGUUAGAAUAUCAAACUAAAAUCUUUAAGGAGUUUCCCAUAUUAAUAUUAGAUGUACAAUCUUUAUAUCACAAUCACAGAAGUUGCCGAAAUAACCGAUUGUAACAAUUUUAGCUGGCAGAUUAAAACAACAUACAGGAACACCACUGUAAGCACUGCGGAGUUUGAGCUGGUGCUGAAGUUGAGUGAUUCCUUUUGCUCCUGUUGCAAUUCUUAGUUCUUCCACACUCCAUCUAUAUAGCAAUUGCCUUGAAAGAGUCAUCGAAAUGCUGCACCAGAUACCCAAAUAAUUAUUACAGAACACCUAAUAUCUAAAGUUUGACAUAAACAAUACCCUUCCCUCUAAAAUUGGACAAAUAAUAACAAUACUUGAAACAGAGGCAAGAAACUGGAUAAGUGAACAUCUUGGUUUAGAGGAGAGUUCUCAGCUCAAUCAAUUAUAUAGAAUCUCGUAAUUAGGAAAAGAAGAUUACAAAGUUAAUUAGAUGUUCUAUAGCCUAAUUAGGUGCAGCAAAUAAAAAGGAUAUAAAUAAUAAAGCAUAAACAAGGAAAUAAUCAACAACAACAAUAAAGGCAAUAAUAUUAUUACAUCAUUAAUAACAACAAAAGACCACAUUAUCCAUAUCAACAAAUAAUCUACAGUCUCGACAAAUAAGUGAUCCUUAAUCUGUUCCAGAAUUGAUAAUUGUGUUGUUCUUUUUCUAUGAGAGUGGGGAGGGGAAGUUAUGGCAGAUAGUAACUAAAACAUAAAGUUAGGAAAGACAUAAAAACUACCUAGCAUCAUCACGAAUCUGUGAUCUGAAGAGUCUGUUGGACUGGAUUUCAAGCUGUCCUGACAUAUUUCGGCGAUCAUGUAAUUGGAUGUCUAACUGCAAUAAAAUAAACACUGAAAACUCAUUCAUGGUCCCCUCUCCUCAAAGAGCAAGUCAUACCUCUAACUAUAUUUGGAUUUUUCCAUUAACUGAAAGGAAUGGGACAAGUAAGGAUGAACUCAACAGGGAGGGAAAUUAAUGACACAAAGCUAGCUUUUCUUUUGUUCAUAAAAUUAACAAGGGAAAGGAACCUUUGGGUUCCUCUCAUUCCAAUCAAUUUCCAAGGGAACAAAAAUUGAUUCUUUGAAAGAAACAAACAGCAAAUAGUUCCUCUUGAAUUCUUUUACCAUCCUAUCUGUUUACAAACUCCCAAACAAGGGAAUAUGUUCCCCUUUUCCUCAUACCCUUUCUGUGCCCCCAUCAUCUGUAAUGUAAUCCCGAUAAAUUAUUUUACUGAUGGUUUGAGACACUACAUAUAGUCAAAUUUCUCAGAUACCGCACACAAAUAAGCUAAAAGGCUUGAGAAUACACCAUGACAAGGAGAUGACAAACUCACCUUUGACGAAGACAGAAACUUGUAUAUGGCACUCUGAAGCAUCAGAUGAUACGAAACAAAAACAAUGAAAUAACAGCACAUUAGAUAACUAAUCUGAAAUAGAUAAACUACUAAGUAUAAAGCAGUAUCAUACCUGUGGAACACUAUUCAAAUCCCCAGCAAUAAUAACAGGGAUGUUGCCCCAUUCUUGUGACAACUUGUAAGCUUUAUCAAGUAAAAGUCUGACCUGUCCAUUUUCCAUAAUAAGAAAAAUAUUAGACAACUUAAUUAACUAUAGACAAUUAAAUGCAUUUGUUUAAGGUAAAAUAAUUUGCACCAACCCGGCCCAAAAAAUAUAAUAUUAAAAAGUUUAAAAAAUGAAUCAGGUGCAUAAACAGCAAUGGCUAUACAUGAAAAAUAAGUAUAAUGAUACUCAUCUAGUUAAGAAGUACCUGACCCAGUUUGAUGUCACCACGAUUUGGGUUGAAUAGCACAUGUAUGUUUCCCACAACAAAUCUUCUUUUUCCUGUGGAUGGUUCCCUAUAGAUGACGAUCAUAUUAGUUGCUAAUUGAAAAACAUGAAAAAUACUGGCCGUGAAAUAGACACUAUAUGUGUGUAUGAGAGAACAUAUGUGAAUAAAUGAGUGUACAAAUCAAUCUUUCCAAAAUUUUCAAUUUUAAACUUUGGUGCUAAAAAUUAGCGAUGCAAUAAAGUUUCAAGAGAAGGAAAUAACAGAAAAAUGUCACUGGUUGGUAUGCAAUAAUUUAGUAUACAAAAGUAAAUACAGUCAUUCAAGAAUACUGGAAUAGAAGCACAUCCAAGUGUUAUGCAAAAACCAAGUCAAAGACUGCAAAUGAUUGUUCAUGUUACCCAUUUUAUACAUCUAAAACUUACAUUGUGGUUAGGUUACAUGCGUUGGAUUCUUUUUUAUCAUGGUUUCCCUGUAAAUUGAUAAUAAAAUAGAGUAAUAAGAUAUAAAGACGUUUGGUUUCAUUGCAGCGAGAACACGUAUAUGUAGACAAUGUAUAAGAUUGGGUGGGGGGAACUAAAAAUUUUGUAUAACAGAUCAUAAUUCCUUCUAUUAAAAGACAGCAUAACAAAUACAAAACACAGGACGGAAACAACUUAAAGAUAAAACUAAACCCAAAAUACCUCCNAAAUACACAGCUGGGCAACAUUGUUACGCAUGCCAAAUCUUUGGAACUCUAUAUCUUCUUGAUGCAAAAGAUUGAAUCUGCAUUCACAUUAAGAAAUAUAAUUAGGCCAAAUUAGGGAUUCGAUAUUUUCUCAANUGAUAAGUUCUAUAUUAGCACAUUUUUUAACUGUUGGUUUUCUGUUGCAUCAAUAAAUACUUAUGCACUCAUUUAAUUNNUGUNAAAGGACAACAAUGUAAAUAAAUUGAUUAAUAUAGGGUGCACAAAUUCAAUUACGUAAAUGAUUUAUGGGUUAGGGAAACCUACAACUUGUCUUUCCAAAAUACAGCACAUCCAUCUUUUGCUUCCCCAGUGCGAGCCUGUGACAAAUGAAAACAAUGAUCCACAUAGGUACUUGAUUAACUAUUAGGAGUUUUAAAACUAACAUGAUAGUUUAAAUGUGUAUGUAAUAUACCUUAUAAGUACCUCUAAAGCCACUGUUCUGGAAAAGAUUGUCUAGAUCAUUAAAAUGAUUAACCUCCUUCAAACACAAGAUUUAUGAGAAAGCAAUUCUUCAAAUACAAUUCUAUAAUGCAGAAAAUUAGCUUACAAUUUCAAGCAGAGAAUAAAUGCUAAAUCGGGUACAUCUAAGCUGUUUGAUUGUGCCAACUGGAAUUAACAUCAGUGUAACUUNUGUCUUUAAAGUUGUAUGUUACAUAUGUAACUAAAAAUUUUCNUCAUAUGUAUUUGUUCAUACAACUAUUAAACUAAUUUAUGAAUGAUUACAUANAGUAGUAGUUAUUAGUUAAAUCCAAGAUGCUACUGACAAGAUUCUAUAAGAUUUCGAACCAAAUCUUCCAUCUAAAUCAAGUUAUUAAUUACAUAUUAGUAAUGAGUGCAAAAUUUUUCGAACUUAUUUUUAAGCUCUUAUGAUAUUUAAAAACAUACUUUAAAGCUUACAUUAAAUCUUGUGAGUAUUCAAAUUUUCAAUGGUGAAUUGAUAUAAAGAUGAAAAAUAAAAUAGUCAAGGUGAACCGUAAAAUAUGUGAAAGGAUGGUAAAAAUAUGAGAAAUAAUAUGGCGAUGUCUUGGCUAAUAAUUUAUGUGCAAGGUAGGAUUUAAUUGAAAAUUUGAAAGUACCUUCAAGAAUCAAAAUGACAAGAACUGGUUAAGUUUAAGAACCACAUUGAAAAUGACAUAAUAACAUGUCAUAAUUCUUGAAAAAGUAAGAUUUUCUUUUUUUAUAAAUUUGGACAGUCUAAUGUCAACCACAACUACCACUUCAAUUGCCACGUAGUCAACCAGCGUACCAUGUUGACAUAGGCACUACCUUUCGCAUAGCUCUAUUAAUAGAAGGAUAAAAUUGAGUAAUCUUCUUUACAUUCAAGGAAUUUUUAAUAAUUAUGUUGCCUUCAUAGACUAANAUGACAAUGUCAAGCACUUUCAUGGACAUAUUUGAUCAAUCACCAGUUGUUCUUUUCUAGCUUUCAAAGCUUAAUAGAGAUGCAUAAAUCCUAAUGAUUAAAAAUGGUCGAAUGUUGUAACCAGUAUUCAAUUUAUAACAGCUGGAAGGACUACCUGGAAACACAGUAUGCUGGCAUUAUAGUUGUUAAUCUCUUCAAGUAUGAGCCUUUUCCGCUUGUCCCACUCCAAGAACCUAUGUGGAAUAUUAGAAUACAGAUCCGGAUGAUUUGAUGCAUUUUCAACACCAAGUAUAUUGUAUGAAACAACCACAAUCUUAUCUGCAAGGGAAGGAACAAUUCAGAUUAGUAAAUACUAGAUAAACACUGUCUAAUCUGAAGUCUAAAUGACACAAUUAACAAGAGCACCCAAAUGUAAAGUAUUAGCUAUCUUCAUCAUGGACUGUUGGUUAUUGGGGGUGGGGUUACACAUGAGCAAGCAAAUCCCAUUUGUACAUUCACACCUUUAUUUUUUUAAAAUUUAUUUUGUUGCCCUCUCCUUAGACAGCUGAAAUUUUGGGAUAAGGUACCAAGCAAAAUGUAUAUGAAUAUGUAGAUUGUAGAAUGGAAUCUGGUAAUUAAAUUCUCUAUUAUUUAUAUUUGGUGACAAAUUGACAAUCUCGACCACAGAAACGUAACAUUAAAAUGCUUACUUUUUCCUAAAAAGAAAAAUAACCAUAGCAAAAAGAAGUCACUUUUCUACACAAAAACAUACGCAUGCUCGGAAAUGUGCCCAUACGGGUGAUGAAUUUGUAUAACAUUUGAAUACAUAAUUUCAUAGUGAAAUAGAAUCCAAACUAAUUAUUAUUCCCUAGAAACAGAUAACCUCGUAAUUCUGAGUUCUGACCCGUGCAAUUAGAACAAUCUUUAGAAGAGAAAACCCAUUUCCUGGCAAAACAGGGAGAUUCCAGCAGAGGUGUUUUCUGCUUUGACGAAUAACAAGUGCUUAAAUUUUCUGGAGGAGGGCUGCCGCGAUCGUGGCUUGCCAUACCACCCUCCAGGAUAGACAGCAACAGCACAUGAAAUCAACUAGGUUUAGAAUUUUGUAUUCACUCAAGAAGAUUACUUAUUAGGGACACACAGUAGGGUGUCAUUCAUAUGCGCGUAUUUUACAUCCCCUUUUCAUAUCAUCAUGAAUGUAGCAUACACAGGUACAAUCACGCAGAAGCAACACACAAAUAACAAAUAACAAACCGUUUAGGCGUUUACCAAUUGUCACACUCACAAACAUUAAUUAAUAAAAACGCCUCUUCAUUUUACCUAAAAGGCAAUCAAAUGAAUACAUUCCCAAUUUUCAAAAAUAGUAUUGAAAGCCAUCAAUUGGAAGCUAUCCUAAUCACUUGUACAUGCCAUUUUCAAUAUUCCAAAAGACUACGAAUCCUCUCUCUGUUCUUAUCUCUUCAAAUUCCCACAGAGUAUUAGAAAAACGGAACACAAUUGGAAGUGAAUGCAGAUUCAAAGUGAAACAGAAUUCGAAUUAAGGAUUAUUCUGACCCGUGCAAUUGGAAGAGUCUUUGGAAGAGAUAAUCCAUCUCCUACUCCGACAUUCAGACUGAGAACGUCUUCUUCGUUUUGACGGAGAAUUUUCCGGUGAAUGCCUCCAACGCUUGCGCCGAACCAUGUUUGCACCGCUUCUACUGUUCAUGACCUCUGUUGAUAGUGUUCAACAGAUUCUCUUAUGCUAAAUUAUCGUAUAUCUUCAAGUUUAGAUUAAGUUUGAUUCCUUAUAUUUAAAAAAAUGCAAUUUAAUCUUUAACGAUUUUAAAAUGAAUUCUGUUUAAAAUUAAUCCUCGCCUUAAAUUUAAUACAAUAACUUUUAAAAUAGUAAUAGUUAACAUUUUUUAUAAAUAUAUGAUAAUACCUUAGUGUAAAAAUGUUGUUUAACGUCAUACGAUAGACGUCGGUUACCGGCACCCGUGACGUAUAUUGAUGACUGAUGAUAAUUCCAUAAAUAAAGUUAGCAAUAUAGACGUAAGUAAGGUCCAUCUUUGACGUCUAUAGAAUUUUAGAUGUCGGCCCUUCAAACCUGAUGUCUAUAUUUCUGACCGUUAUGUGAAAAGUCAUUUCCAUAAGCCUUAUAUACGUCAGUUCGUUUAGGGCACCGAUGUCGAAAUAGCGGAAAUUAAUGUUGCUCACCUACCUAUCAGACAUAUGGACGUCGAUUCCCUUCUAACUGACGCUUAUAAGUCUGCCAGGCAGGUGAAUAGCCACUGUUUUCAGCCUUAUAGACGUCGGAUCCCGCCACAUUGAAGGGACCCUGGCGUCUAUAUGGCGGAAAUUAAUGUCCCCCACCAACCUGUCAGACAUAUAGACGUCGGUCUCGUUGUAAUUGACGCCUAUAUGUCUGUCGGACAGGUGAAUAGUCACUUUUUUCAGCCCUAUAGACGUCGAAUCCCGCCACAUUGACGUCUAUAUACAAUUCUAGACGUCAGUUGCAUCAUCACCGACGUUUAUGUACAACAAAGAAAUUAAUUUUUAAAUCGAAUAGACGUCAAAUUAGUCAGGCGUCCGACGUAUUUGAUAAUGUAAACGUCGGUUCUAUGUACAACAGACGUCCAAUUUCUUGUUAAAUAACAUCAGUGGUUUGCGAACCAACACAUCGUCUUUGCCUUUUUCUCUCCGCUGCUCUGCAUUUUCCAGGUAAGUUUCCUCUCCUCUGCCUUUUCGUUGUGUUUUGGUGCGGUUUUUUUGUUGUGUCUUUGUGUAGCGUAAUGCACCUUCUCCCUUUGCUAGUUUCCUCGUAAGGAAAACUUGCGUUUUUUUGGAUUUCUCACGGCAUUUCAAUCCAAGGACGAAUUUGGGUUGUUGCCUAUGUCCAUUCCGAUCGCCAAUAAAAAAGUAUACGGUGAGAAUACUCUCACCGUAUACUUUUUUAUUGGCGGUCGAAAUGGACCUAAGUAACAACCUAAGUUCCUCUUUAGGUUGAAAUGCCAUGAGAAGUCCAAAAGACGAAACUUUUUCUUAUGAAUAAACUAGCAAAGGAAGGAGGUGUUACUACGCUACUUGAAGACACGACAAAAACCGUACCAAAACACAACGAUCACUUCAUAGAUGUCAGUUAAUGUACAAACCGACGUCUAUAUGGCGGAAAAACGUCGGUUAAUACAAUGUUUGACAGCUUUAUAAACGUCCAAUGUGUUAAGGACCAACGUCUAAGGUAACCUUAGACGUCAGUUAGUGCAAUGUCUGAUGUCUUUAUAGACGUCGUUGUUUGAACUGAGUCGACGUCUAUAUGGACGUUAUAGCGGCAAAAACUGACGUCCCAUUAACGUCACCUGUAUAGACGUCGGUUCGUUUUCUGACGUUAAAAACCCAAAAUAACUAAUGUCUAAAGCCCUUUCUAUACUAGUGAUACUAUUUCAUUAAGAGACAAUAUUAUAUAAUUUGUAUCAAUAUUUAUAGUAAAACAAUAAUUUACGUUUUAUUUAUUUUUAUUUACAUGAAUAUAAUUUUUUUAAAAUAAAAGGACAUAUAUAGAUUGUAAAAUUAUUUUGUUUUAUCAACUAAAAGUAUAAAUUAUUAUUUUAGAUUACAAGUUUUAUCUUUUAUAAACUAUUUCAUUAAAUGGAUGUUUUUGCUAGGGAUAAUAAUUUUAUUGAAUAUAAAUGGGAUUUAUAAUUGUAUUUAAAACUUUUUUUUAAAGAUAUCGUUUUGAUAAUUAAUAUAUAUAUAUAUAUAUAUAUAUAUAUAUAUAUAUAUAUAUAUAUAUAUAUAUAUAUAUAUAUAUAUAUGUAUAUAAGUCAUGAAGGGUAGAAUGAUUUCAUUAGACAACUAACCAUACCAUGAAGUUAUGUUCUAAUGAUGUUAAACUCUUUUUCUAUUACUUAUAACUUGAUGUAUUAAUUUACAUGAUUUAAAAUAUUAUUGAAGUAAGGUAUUUCUUUUCACAAAUAAUGUUGUGUUUAAUAUUUCGAAUAAUAAAUCAAAUAAACAUAUCAAAUCAUAUCUAUUCAAACAAAAUCAUCAUAUAAAUAAUAUAAACAAAUAUUUAAAAUCAAUUCAGCUUCGAAAGGAUGAAAUAUGGGCAAAUUAUGCAUAAUUAACAAUUAUGCAAAAUUUUCCCAAAACUAGGUUCAAUUUCAAAUUAUAAAAUCACAUAUAAAAAAGCAGACUCCAUAUUAUAACUAAUAUUUCUCAAAGAUAAAAAAAAGUACUCUUAUUUAUAAAAUUAUCACAACACUUUUUAACUUAUGAUCAUUAACCAAUUUUCUAUUAGUGUAUGAUUUACAAAAUUCAAAUAAAUAAUUAAUUUAAACAAUACGAUACUCUAGACACUAAACUUGUUUUACAUACUAGGAUUCUUAAAUCUUAAUCAUAAUUACCAACCACUUUCCUUGAUUAGAAAUUACCUUUUUUAUGAACUUCAUACCAACAAAGUUACAAUCAUAUCAUCUCAUGUGAAUGCAUUAUUAUUCACUUCACGUGUCACCCAAUCCAUACCAUUUUCAUCCUUGUCUUCAUGCAUGAACUAGUUGGCCUUAAGAAAUUAUAGAAACUUGUUUUUUUUCUCUUUAAAAUAUACAUAUUCCUUAAUCAUAAUUUUAAGUAAUUAGCUCAGAAAUUUCAGAAGAUAUUGUUAGCUACUAUGUGCUCAUGUGAAAUUGACAAACAAAACAUCAUGAAAAAUACUAUAGUAAAAUGAAAUUUUAGUAGAUAUUACUAGAUAUAUAUACUAUAUAUUACAUACUUUAAGAAAAACUUUACGGAUUAUGUAUUGUAGUCUUAUCCACUUGGAAUUGGAACUUCUCAUGAAAAAAUAUCUGUUAUCAAAUCCUGUUUCUUCUUCUUAUCUAAAUAAAAUAAAGCAACAUUUUGUCACUUUGUUAAGUAAUAUAAAAUAUAUGAAUUGACAGUAUGGGUUUUCCAUUAUUUUAUCAUUUUUAUUCCUUAUUUUAUUUUAAAAUCCUUAUUUCAAAUUAAAAUUUAUAAUUUUAGUUAGUAUAAAUAUUUUUUACGUUACUAUAUAUGUAACCAUAAAUUGAUAUGUAAUUAAAUUUAUUAAUUUGAGCGUCGAAAUGUUAACGUGUAGGUUGCAUCCUAUCAGACAUGAGAAUAAGAUUAACUAAAUCAAUUUUGUUCGGUUUCAAUCUGAAUAGUAACAUAAGAUUAUUGCUUUUCUUUAAAGAAAUAUAGAACUAUAAAAAUCAUAUCUAAGAUGAUAUUCAUAAAUUUAUUACAAUAAAUAAAUAAAUAAAUAAUCAAAUAAAUAUUUUCAACAAUUGCAUCAUCACUAGCUAUGAAAUAUCUCAGACUUUAUCAGUUACAGAUCGUGGCAUGCAUAGUUAUACAAAGAAAAAUAUCUGAUAAAUGUUACGUUCAUAUCUCAUUACACACAUACAUGUGUCAUAAGUUAGCUUGUUCUUAUGGUUCCAUCAAACAUGAAGAUUUUAUAACAUCAUCGUCGAAUUGAUAUUAACAUUGUACUAAGAUUCUCUCUACAGUGCCCCGAGUUACUGCAUAGAAGAUAGAUAGCAAAGAAUUUGUUCCCUCUGUGGCUGUCCAUGUCCCCUUUUUUUCCUCUAUUUGUUUGCAAAUUAAUUACGCCAAAGGAUAAGAUCGUAGGAGCACCCAUGAUGGAGAAUUUAUUGAAAGGAAAGUUGUAGAAGGGUGCCAAGGAAGAGACUCGUCACUGUUCAUAACAUUGCAGAACCAAAACAGUCUCAAAAAGCAACAUUUUUGGCUGCAUCUAUGUGUGUCAAUAUAUGCUGCAAUUUGUGGUUUUCAUUAUUAGUAGAAAAUAUAUGGGCCCAGAUAAAAUGCAGGAAAUUUUAUGGUAAACUAUUCUUUGGACACACUCCUAGAAUGUCAACAUUUGUGGCAAAUUUGUUACAAUAUCACUGUCUGAUCAAUUGCUCUUAUGUUAUCUCUAAGUUUUCACAUCAUAAUUGCCUACCAUGAAUGGAAAUUUGAGCUAACAAAGCUAAAAAAAUGAAGAUUAUGAACACAACCAUUUCACUGUCUUGGUUGGUUUAUAUGCACCAAUCAAACAAAUAGGUCAAUGUUUACAAAAUCCCACAAAUCAAAAAAUCAUGUGAUUGGCCAAUAAUGGUUGUGUUGGUGGACUUUUUUUGCUCAGAAAUUUGAGCCACCAGUGUAAGAUAAAAAAAAGGAAACAAGGUGAAAUCCCCACUUACUAAAUUUAACCAAGUUUGGACACACUCAAGUGGAAGAAAACACAAGGCAUAGAUUUAUCUGUGGUUCAAAAUUCUCUGAAGCUUAACUCCACCAGAUUAGUCAAGCUGAACCAUAUGUUAGGGCUGCAUCUACUGGUGGAAAAUGCACCAUUGCAAAGGUGAAUGGUUGAGAAGUUGAAGACAAACCAUAGAGGAAGUGAAAGCAACGUGAUGUUAGGACCGCAAAAAGGAAUUAUUGAAUCACAGUUGCAACACAACAAAAAAGGUCUUAUUCCAGCACACACCAACAACACUGACACUGGUAGACACUCACAAAUAACCUGCAUUGGAUCCACCAGAAAAUCCCAUAAAAGGAAAGCUAACCAAUAAGAAUUCAGAGAAUAAGAUGAACAUCAAAUCUCCAGCCAAUGAGCAUUGCGAUGAGACCAAAUCGUGGGCCCUAACACCUUCACUCAAUGUCCUGUAGCAAUCUUAUACAUGACCAAACCAUAAUACUAAUUACAUAGUAUAAUACUUUCUACUUAAACUAAAGAAGAAACCAAGUAGGAACAAACUAUAAGACCCCACUGUGCUUCUUCUCAUCUCAUUCUCAAACCCAUCAUAACCAAUAAUUGAAUUUGAAUCUAGAUCUAUGCACUUAUACUCCCUCAAACAUUGUUAUGAUUCUUUGUUGAUAAUAACCAGUUAACUGUUCAGUGCAGUUCUCUUUGCAGCCAAAAAUCAGUUCCCAUCUGUGACCGACGAAAUGAAAGAAGCAAGUGCAUUAGGAGCUAGAACUGCACGAGCAUGCGAGAGCUGUCUAAAAGUAAGAGCACGGUGGUAUUGUGCUGCUGAUGAUGCUUUCCUUUGCCAUGGCUGUGACAACAUGGUUCACUCGGCAAACC
rnacentral:lncRNA from 1 species